GAUUAUCCCUCUCCUUUAAAUCAAAGCUCCAAAAACUUGAAAACCCUGAUCCCCGUUUCCUCAAAUACGGUUCCCCUCAUCCAGCUGUUGUUUCCCACACGCACAUACUAUCUUCCCCCGAAACCAAAAUUACAACUUUGCCCAAUGGCCUACGUGUCGCCACUGAAUCUACUCUAUCUUCCCGCACGGCCACGGUUGGGGUCUGGAUCGAUGCGGGGUCGAGAUUUGAGACUGAAGAGACUAAUGGAACGGCGCACUUCUUGGAGCAUAUGAUAUUUAAAGGGACAGAGAGGAGGUCUGCCAGGGACUUGGAGGAAGAGAUUGAGAAUAUGGGAGGGCAUUUGAAUGCUUAUACAUCGAGGGAGCAAACCACUUAUUACGCUAAAGUUAUGGAUAAAGAUGUAUUUAAAGCGUUGGAUAUAUUGGCUGAUAUUUUGCAGAAUUCGAAGUUUGAGGAACACAGGAUUCGUAGGGAAAGAGAUGUGAUUCUAAGGGAAAUGGAAGAGGUAAUGAAUAGCUUUGGUUUGGGGACAUUUUAAAUAGGUUUCGGAUAAUAUAUGUUUUUUUUUUUAAAAAAAUUGGUUUUAGUAUGUGUUCUCUCUGUUUAUAGGGAAUACGAAUCUAAUUGUUUGUGUUUUUGCUUGGCAUGUAGGAUAUAAAUAAGUAAUUAAAUUUAUGGGGUUGGAUUUGAAAAUGUCAACUUUUUGGAAUAUAUAUGAUCUUUGUCUAUGCAGCAUAAAGUUUUGAGAGAAAUACUAAAUAGGAUUAUUAGGGAGAAGGAUGCCAUUUUAAUGAACAUGGAGAACGUAACUAUAUAAAAUAAGGGAUUUUUAGUGGGUUUUGGUUGAUAUGUGUUCGACUGUAAGGGUUGUUUGGUUGAUUGGUUACAUUUGGCAUUAGCUGGUGUUUUAUUUGUCCUGCAUAUGAAUUUGUGGGGUUAGAAAUCAGUAUGCAUGGACAACAUGGUUGUAAUAAUUUUUUUUUUUUUUUUGUACAGAGUAAAGAUAUGUGAAGUAUGUUACUAUUGGUUGGUUUCUUUUCUGUUGUAUGGGCCCAUUGUGCGUUAAAUUAUCUCUUUUGGAGCCACAUGAGGAUGUUUAUGAUCAUUAAUUUCUACAUAGAUAAUGUUGCCUCAGUUUUGCCUAAUGCAUUUGUCUUCAUUCUAUGUUAAUUAUUAAUAACAUAAGUUAUGAUCUUGGGGAAUUCUGUAGGUCGAGGGUCAAACAGAGGAAGUUAUUUUUGACCAUUUGCAUUCAACUGCUUUCCAAUACACUCCUCUUGGUAGAACUAUUCUAGGAUCUGCUGAUAAUGUCAAGACAAUCACCAAAGGGCAUCUGCUGAACUAUAUUCAGACACACUACACCGCCCCUAGAAUGGUAUGCAAAGAACUACUCAGCUUUUCUUAUGUAGCUGCGUAUACUAUGAUGUACUACGAUGUACUUAGUCCUUAAAGGAUGAAUGUUUUGCCAUUCCAUUGCUUUCCGAUAAUAUCAUGUGAGGUACUACGUGCAAGAGUUGUCAAUAGGUUUUUGUAAUUGCAUAUUUUUUGUUAACUUUUACAGGUCAUUGCAGCUUCUGGAGCUGUUAAGCAUGAGGAAAUUGUAGAGCAAGUAGAGAAGUUAUUUACCAAGUUAUCAUCUGAUCCAACCACAGCUUCUCAGUUAGUAGUGAAAGAACCAGCCACUUUUACUGGUUCUGAGGUGGGGGUUGUCAUAAUAAAAUUAUUUUUUUCUUAAAAUCCACUUUCAGUAUGUUAUGCUCUCUAAGUUUAUUUUUAAUUUUGAAAAAUCAGGUCAGAAUGAUCAAUGAUGAUAUUCCUCUAGCGCAAUUUGCAGUUGCUUUUGAGGGAGCAUCUUGGACAGAUCCAGAUUCCAUUGCACUAAUGGUUAUGCAGGCUAUGUUGGGUUCUUGGAGCAAAAAUGCUGGGGGUGGAAAGCACAUGGGGUGAGCUUUUUACCCUUACAUGAAAUCGCAUUUUAAACUGAAGUCUGCCUUGUCAGUCUCACGACGAGAAUCCUCUGUUGCAACAAAGUCUUGAUUGGUUUUGAAAAUCCUUUAUAAACAGUUCUGAGCUUGCACAAAGAGUUGGCAUUAAUGAAAUUGCAGAAAGCAUGAUGGCUUUCAACACCAACUAUAAAGAUACUGGUCUUUUUGGUGUCUAUGCUGUUGCCAAGGUGAGACUGCUACCUGUUCCUAUAAUUUUUGUUAUGGUCUGAAUAAAACUUGAUGCCAAAAAAAAAAGCCCCUACUAGUUAUGAUUGACAGUUUUUAAGUUAUAAGUUUGUCAUGUUCUUCAUUGUCAAUAUAGUUAUUUAAUUCAUUGUCUAGUGGCCUUAACAUCUUAUCUGGUUGUUGUUGCCCAUUUGAUGCCUAGGCAUGCUUUCGUGUAAGGCAAUAGCCUUAAAAAAGCCCUCCUGUUUGAAGUUUACUUAUUUCUUUUAUUUUUCACUUUUUUUGUUAGAUAUACCUUUAUUAGUAAGAAAGGGAUAGUAUCAAACCUAUACUUCUCAAUAUUUGAGUAUUCAACUAUCGACAUGGACCAUAAGGAAAUCAUGCGUAUUGACUAAGAAAGGAAUUGCAUGUUUUGAUUUUAGAGUUUAUCAUAUGUUUUAAGCUGUAUACAGGCAUACACAAAGACUCACUCACACACACACAUAUAUAUUGUGCUUCACUUCACUCUAGCUAGCACUUUUUUUGUGCUUUUCUCUUGAGGUAAUCUAAGAGUUCUAGUGCUUAGAGUGUGCCUUGUGCCUUUGACGACACUGGGUUGUUGACUCCACCCUCCAAAGCUUAUGUUGGUUUGACUAAAAUUCUUUUUUCAUAUGUGAACUUACAGUGGUUGGCUCUAUGCUGUUUAUUUGUUUUUUCCCCCAAAUUUUUAUUUUAUUUUAUGAUGCAAUAAUAAGUUUAUGUUCUGGUCUCAGCCUGAUUGUUUGGAUGAUUUGGCCUAUGCUAUUAUGUAUGAGACAACCCAGCUAGCUUAUCGUGUUUCAGAAGCUGAUGUCAUUCGUGCUCGUAAUCAGGUAGCUACAGUUGCUGCAAUUUUUUCUUCAUAUUUGGUAGAUAAAUUUUGAUUUUGUACAUUUUGUAUUCUUUUAAGAACUACUAGCAGUGUGCCAAUAGUACAAAACCAGUUGGUUAGGCCAUUUUGGAAUUCUACAUUAAUAACGUUAGCUCAAUAUAAUGCAGCAGUGAGUGCAGAUUUUGUUUAGAGAGCUUAUUAAGUUCUAUAUAGAUUUUGUUUGAAAUAGUUCAUUAUUUUUAAAAAAUUCUAAUAUCAAUAAUAUUUUGGUGGAAAUUCUAGAUGCCUGUUACUCAUGUUUUUCAUCCUCUUUAACGUGUUCCCGCGCAUUAACAUUCCCUGGCAUCUGUAUAUGGAAAUGGAAUGAAUUCCUCUGCCCUACAAAAAUAGUUAAUGUCUUGUUUAGCUCGUCAAUAUCUAGUCCAUCUAUCUAGUCAUUGGGCUACUAUUUUGUCUUUUACAUUUUUGCAGUUAAAGUCAUCCUUGAUGCUUCAUAUGGAUGGAACUAGUCCUGUUGCUGAGGAUAUUGGCCGUCAGGUACAAUCUUUACACAUUUUAGAAGGGUUUUUUAAUUCCAGUGGGUGCAUGGAAGCAAUCCUAUCUCUUGAAUCAGCACAUAAGCUGUUUUUAAGCAAAAAAAGUUUUAAAAGAUUCAAUUGAAAUUCAAUGACUGAAUUUGUGUUUCAUGCUGACUGUGAGCUGUUGUGGCAAGAGAUGAGAUCUGCUAUCCUUUAUUACUCACUUUGGAUUUCUUAUUGUCAUUGGUGUCCUAUCCUUACAGCUACUUACGUACGGUCGGAGAAUCCCAUUUGCUGAAUUAUUUGCUAGGAUUGAUGCUGUUGAUCCAAGCACUAUUAAACGAGUUGCAGACCGAUUUAUCUAUGAUAAGGUAGUGAUUGCAACCUAACCUUUAGCAGUCUCUCUUUUCCAGCAAUGGUUGCAACAUUCAAAGCUAUAAUGAAAUUUGGUGGGAUAAGUCAUUGAAAUCUGAGGAUGUAAUUUUUUUUAUGCGGUUUAUGUUUGAUAUUCACAGGAUAUUGCAAUUGCUGCAAUGGGUCCGGUCCAGGGUUUGCCCGACUACAACUGGUUCAGACGCAGGACCUACUGGAACCGUUAUUAGAUGAUUUUGGUUUGACUUUCUCAAUGGAUUAUCACCUGUCCUUGGCAAUCACAAACUUUCCGGUAUUUAUACACCAAUUUCUGGAAACACACCUAAGGGUGGCCUUUCUAUUCGUUGUGUAGGGUUCUUAGUUUCAUCGAUUCAGUAAUAAACAUUGCUGUCUUUAGUAUUUGUUCUGAGAAUCAGGAGACUUGGAUGAGCCUGAUGUUGAGCUGGUUUUGGUUUUGGUUUUGGUUAAGCCUGCAUCUUUUAUUAUUGUUAAACAACAUAGGAAGUUUAACCUAAAAUUUUUCAAUGGAAUGGAAUGAUAUUUUAUUUUGAUUAUCUUUCCUUACAUUUAUUAUAGACGUUAUUGUUUAUUUCAAGUUUUGAUACUUGUAAUGAAUUAAUUGCAUGAUUUUACUAAUGAAUUAUAAAGUAAGACAACAAGUUAAUUAAGAAGAAAAAAAUUAAAGCACCUUUGAAGUUUGAAUCAGAAUGAGUAUACAUUGGGUGGACUUCGGCUCAAACAUAUUCAGAUUCAUGCAUGUUAUAUUUGGUUCUUUGCUUCCUAUUUUCGGGUUAGGCAAGCUAGGAAAUGGAUAUGCAAGCAUGUAACUGUUCAAUUUUAAAUCCGUGGGAAUUUGAUAUUUAAGCUAUGACAAUUCCUUUGAAAAUGUGAAAAUAAAUAAUAAUAUCAGCUCCCAUGUUUUUUUUUUUAUCUUUUAAAUAAAAGUUUAUUUCUGACAACCACCAUCGUUGUAAAAAAAGUACUUACAAAUAAAAUUUCUUUUAUUUACAAAAUAUGAAAAUAAUAAUAAUAAUGGAAAAUUAUCUUAUAUACCUUGCAUGAAGUUUUUCUUUUUCUUUUUUAAUUUCAUAUCUUAUAAGGUAUAUUAAAAAAUAAAUAUAUAAAUCAUUGAAACACGGAUCACAUCAUCAAUCCACUUAUGAAAAUUUAAACACCAUAAUAAUAUUUUUUUAAUAUUCUAUUCUAAAACAACUUUUUGAUGAAAUUAUUAUUUUUACAUCCACAACUUAGGCUCCGUUUAUUUUACUGAAAAUAAUUUCUGGAAAAUGAUUUAUUUUUUUGGAAAAGUUAAUAUUUUCUUGUGUUUGGAUGAAUCUAUGUAAAAUAUUUUCUGUUGUUUGGUAGAUUUCUUAAAAAUAUUUCAUAAAAGUUGUUUUCAAUUAAACAAGCAUACAUUUGAGAUUUUCUUAUUUUUUCAUUGUUUAAUUGAAUUUAUUUUUUUAUCUAUAAUUUUAUAUUUUACAUUGUUUUUGCACAUGUUAAAAAUAUCAUGUUAAAUUCAGAUUCAUUACAAAGUCAUUUUUUAAUUACAUGACUACUAAGUGAGUUUUUUUUAUUUAAAAAUGUGAUAUCAACAAAAUUGAUAAAAAAAAUUAACGAUGUCAACAAUUGGACUUGAUUUUCAAAUUUGAAAAGUAAAGGGACUAAAUUCUUAAAAAUAAAAGUACAAAAACUAAAUUACAAAUCUGUGAAUUGUAUAUAGAUUUAUGACAUAUUUUAACCUUUAUACUACAAAACAUUUAUUAUUAAUAUAUUUAUAAUUGUAGUAAAUAUUUAUUAUUAAUAUAUUAAUAUUAAAAAUUUUCAAUAAAAUGUGACUAAUAUUAUUUAAAAUUAUUGUUUUUAAAAUUUAUUAUUAAAAUAAAAUUGAAAUAUUAAAUAAUUUAUUAAAAUGAUAUUUGUGUAAACUAACUUACCAUUCCUUUUCAUUCUUUUUUAUUUUAUAUCAGGUAUUAGAGAUUUUAAAUCCUAGUGAUAAUUGUGUGUUUGGCAUUUUUUGUUUGUAAGGAGAGGAAGAAGAUGAACAAUGCAGCAUGGGAUCACAGAUUGUUGGAGAUGUCUAAUAUCGUAGGAUUCCAACGACUUUGAUUGCAGUGUAAAGGAGUCAACAUAGAUUAUAUAAUGAUAAUAAUAAUAAUAAUAACUUAAUACAUUUCACAUAAUAAUAAAAUAACAUAUCAUCAUCAAAACAAAUUUUUUACUUUCUCAUUUAUUAAUAUCUUUUAAAUUAUUAAUUUCAUCAAUUUGAUUUAAAAGUCUUUACUUGAAAUCGCAUGAAAUCGCAUGAAAUAUUUACUUGAAAAUGACCCCGUGCUGUUCCCUUCUUCGCCUGCAAGUAUCUCUAAGGACCUUAUGCUGCUCCUGUCUUCCCUUUUCGUCCUUGUUAGAACUAUACUGAAGAAAUGAUAAUGAACGAAAUACAGAGAAUAGUAUUUGCUGAAUAUUCUUAGUAUCAUUAGCUUUGGUAAGCCUGUACAGAAAUGAUACUUAUAUACACUAGUGAGUGAUAACAAACACUAACCACUUGAUAACAAAUACUAACCACUUGACUAACCAUAUACCAGAUUGUAACUGACUAUGAUUGCAGUGCAAAGGAAUCAACAGAGAUUACAUAAUAAUAAUAAUAAUAAUAAUAACAAUAAUAAUUUCCACACCAAAAAUAAUUUCCACAGAGGACUAUGAUACAAUUUGGAAAUCGCAUGAAAUAUUUACUUGAAAAGGCAAGUAUCUCUAAGGACCCUAUUGAGCAGACAAUUGCUGCUCCCUUCUUCACCUUUCUUCACCUAUGCUACGUACCUUCUUCCUUUUUAUCCUUAAUGCUCCUUUUCAUUCUUUUUUAUUUUAUAUUAGAUAUUAGAGUUUUUGAAUCCUAGUGAUAAUUGUGUGUUUGGCGUUUUUUGUUUGUAAGGGGAGGAAGAAGAUGAACUGUAUGGCAUGUGAUUACAGAUUGCUGGAGAUGUCUAAUAUCGUAGUAUUCCACUGACUUUGAUUGCAGUGCAAAGGAAUCAACAGAGAUUACAUAAUAAUAAUAAUAAUAAUAAUAAUAGUAACAACAUCUUAAUACAUUUUAAAUAAUGAUAAAAGUUCUAUAUCUUCUUUUACGAUUCUGUUACAUGGAGAUUACAUUACAUAAACAAAAACAAACUUCAUACAUGGUGGAGCCAAACGAGAGAGUAACAAAGAUAGUAAAGACAUUAUCUUAAAGUCAUAUGGUAUAGUAAAGAUCUGGUUUAGGUUUAUCUUACUCGUUAGGUUUAGGUUUGUCUUCCUCGCCAUUGUAGUAAAUAAUUUCACGGUGGAGCCCUUUCUUUAUGAGGUUAGCGCCCAGAGCCAUUGUUGUGUUCAGCAUUCUCCCCUCCUGAAGAGAUACCAUAACCAUAUAGUAGGUCUCCUGAUCAUUUUUAAGUUCCAUCCGUGUUAGAUACCUCACGGCCAGAGGAAAAUUUUUUGAUGUACACAAUGCUUUAAUCACCUUAUGUGAAGUAACAGGACUACGAAACAAACCCUAAGUUAUCAUCUUUCCAACUACGGCUAACGCAUUUUUAUUACUUUCAGGAGUUAAACAUUUAGGUGGUGGGUUAACAUUCCGAGGAAAUGGUGAUAGGUAAGUAUUCUGUAAAACAAAAGAGCAUAGUUUAGAAAGAUCAAAAGAACUUCUUGGAGGUUUUCAUGGGAAGUUGAAAUUCAUGGUCGAAGAAUGUUAAAAAAACUAAGGGUUUUUGUGGGAUAGAAUAUGAACAAGAGCGUAAAUUUUUAUUAAUACACAAUACAAUUACAAUAUGACACACACAAAAAAAUGACGUAGACGGGGGAGAGUAAAUCUAAGUGACGUAGACGGGCAUCCCUGUAACCGAGACUUACAAUUACAAGAGAAAAGGAAAUUUUUAUUAAUACACAAUACAAUUACAAUAUGACACACAAAAAAAAAUGAAAACUCCUACCCUUAUUUAUAGAAUUUAGUGACCGUUUGAUUAUUGACACUUAGUAACAUUAUUAUCAUUAAUUUCACAAAUAUCUAAUAACUACAAUAUUCAUGCAUAAUAUCUAAUCUUCAAAAUGAUAUCCUAUUUUUUUAUUUUAUAUUCUAGAAUAUUCCAAAGAAACUAUAUCUUAAAAGUUAAAGUUUGACUUUCAUCCAGAGGUUACAAUUGCUUUCAACAAAAACUAAUCUAAACAACAUGAUCUUGUAAAAGUUAAGUUUCGGGAACUCUACCAGAUUGAAGGGUAAUGCUGAUGUCUCGAUUGAAAUCUGCAGAGUAGAUGGAGUGACUAGGCAUAGGUUUUAUUGGAGGUGGGCUUGGGUUCUUAGGUUGGUGUCCUUGUUGGGCUUUUAGGUGAAUUGUGAAUUUAGCCUAAGUUUGUUUUGAAUUUAACCUUUUUUUAUGAGGUUGGUGUAGUUCACCAUUCAUGUGUUCACCAUUCUCAGCUUCCAAAGAGAUCUAAUGACCACCAAGUAGGUAUCCACAUCAUUUUCUAAUUUCAUCCGUGUUAGAUACCUUACGGCCAAAGAAAAUUUUCCUGCUUCAUUAAAUGAAUUAAUUAAAAUCAUAGAUUCAAUAGGACUAGGAUGCAUAACUAACUUGAUAUUCUUGCAGUUAACACAUUAUGAAGCUGUUUCAUUUGACGGUAUGCACAAAUCUCAACAAUAAGUUUAUACGAAAUGAGAUCUUUUAGGUGAUGGGCUACUUUCCGACUUAACACAUUUAUCUGUCUUAAAAAAGUCAGUCCACUGACCACCUGGCAACCAGGGGGAGAGUAAAUCUGAGCGACAUAGACGGCCGUCCCUAUAACCAAGACUUACAAUUACAAGAGAAAAGAAUCUUGUUUUCUUUUUGGAUUGAAUUUUGAUAGGAAGAAUGUUGUAAUUUAUUUGAGUAUAAUAGCGAUACGGGGAUGGGUGAAAUUUAUUAAAGUUAGAUUUAUUAAAGUUGAUGUUUUUCAAGUAUGGAAUAUCAAUUGAACUUGCAAGGGAUUCGAAUAUUUAUAAGUUGAAAUGCAUUAAUUUAAGUUUGAGAAUUUAUGUUAUGGUCAUUUUAGUAAAUAAAAAAAAUCUUAAUUAGAUGAAUACGAGUUUUAAGACAAUAUUAUUGUAGAUAAAAGCAAUUUUCUUAAUAUCAUCUUGGGUAAUCUCACAAAUAAUCCCAUUUGGUGAAUUAAUGAGAUUGUUGACAAAUCCUAGCUUUGGCAUGGGAUAUAAUCUCCUUUUACCUUUUACCUAAUUAAAAAAAAAAACCAAUCGAACUGCAUGUAAAAAUCUCGAUAAUACAUUUAUACGGAAUGACAAUUUGCUUAUAACAUGAAAGAGCUUUUAUUUUUCAUAAAAUGUAAUCUCUAGACAUGUAUAUAGCAAUAUUAUAAUUGCUUAAUAAAUACGUAAAAUUAAUUAAUUACCAUUUACUAAAUUCCGUGCAAUUUUUAUGUAAUUUUUUUACUAUUUUUUUUUUGUAAUUUUAAUACGUUUGAAAUAAUAAUAAUGAAAUUGCAAUAUUUAUAAAGAUUUUGAUAUAAAUAAUUUAAUUUUGAGAAAUUUCUAUUUUUGUUUGAUGUUUAAAUGAGAAAUGAAAUUUUUAUUUUCCUUUUGAAAUUUUUUUAAAAAAUAUCUUAAUUAAAUCCUGUAAAUUUUUUAAAACUCUUAGUAUACUUUUUUUUAUUGUACACAAGUAAAUAGAAUUAUUAAAAUAACUUACCAUUUUGAGUUGAAAACUUAAUUAACUAAAUUUUAGUACAUAAGUAAAUAGAAUUAUUGCUUUUAGGCAGAUUGACUUGUACAAUAAAUUCUAAAGAUUAAUUGAAUUAUUAACUUGAUAUUACAGAUUAGAUUUAUAUAUAAUUUUUCAUACUUUUACUUUUGUUUUUUUAUCUCUUAAUCCAGCUCAAUUAUUAGAUAUAGACGACUUUCCGCUCUAUCCUAAACAAAGUGAACUGCACCUAUUCUUCUUAAGUUAACAAUGCUAAAUUUUUUCUUACUCAUAAUUAUACCAAAUUAAAUCUAAUAUACUAGAUUUGUAAUUACACAAAUUGAAGUAGACACCCUUUAUUUUAAUUCAGAAAAAUUUACUGGAGAUGAACUAGAAUCUAGAAUGAACGCAGCCAAACCUAGUAACUAACCCUUUUUUUAUUUUUUUUAUUUGGGUAUAAAUAGGAGCCCAUGCAAAUACCAAAACACGCACCUUAAAACACUAAAGCAAUACGUACAGCUUGCACCAUAGCUUGCAAUGGCAGCUACAAUUUCCAAUCAGCUAUUUGGAGCAUUUCUUAUGUUCCUUGUGUUGCAACCUUUUGUGGCUAAGUCUAGACCCGUAAAAUUUGACCAUGGGCAUAAUAAUGUGAAGCAAUCCCCUGGUUGUGGUAUAACACAUGGCAAAAGUGAUGGCGUGUUUCACUUGGUUGAAAACUAUUCCUUUUUCAAUGGGGAUCCUAAAUGGGAAAACUUCCCGGUGACCUAUGGUUUCCGAUCAGGUUUUUCCCUGCCGGCGGGUUUGGAUAGUCAAGAGGUGGAAGAUGCCAUCGAUGCGGCGGUCCUAGAAUGGCAAACUACCGCUCCUAAAUUUGCAUUUCAAAAGGUAGAACCAGGCGACGGAGCUGAUAUUAAUAUUGCGUUUGCUGAACUUAGCGGCACAAAAUAUGGUUUUGCCUAUGCACCACCUAAUGGAUCGCUUUUCCUUGACAUAGACACCAACUGGAGCACAAGUUCUAAUCCUGGAACGCUCCAACUAGACCUGCAAUCUGGAGCCAUGCAUGAAAUAGGACAUACCCUGGGCCUUGGGUCAUAGUGAAUUUGAAGAUGCAGUCAUGUUUGCCACACUAUAUACUGGAACUACCAGAAGGAAACUUAGCCAAGAUGACAUUGAUGUCAUUCAGACUUUAUAUGCCUAGCAACAACUUGCUUCAGUGAAAAUCUAUACAGCUUUCAUGACUUAUUGGGAAGCUUACUUAUAUAUAAAUAUAUAUAUAUCAUAUUAAAUAAGUGAUUAAGACAGUAAGCCUUAAGCUUUAGUUCCAUUGUAAUGUAAGGUAUGCAAAGUAUUCUGAAAUGAAGUUGCUAUGCCCCUAUCUAUCUAUUUUCCUAUAAUAAUUACACCGUGAAAGCUUCGUAAUAAAUCCUAGCUUAUGAAAGAGAUGAAUAUUGGGAAAUAACAGGAACACAUGCUGCAUUCAUCAAAUGUCCAUAUUAAUAAAACCAAAGGCCAGAAUUCAAACCUCUAACAUGUUGAAUCAAAUCAAUCAAGCAAUGAAAAUGAAGAAUUUUACUUUUUAUAACUUAACAGGCGCUUUAGAGAUUCGUACAAUCUCUUUCACUGUAACAUUGGAUCAUAGAUAGAAAAAUGCAAGAGAUCAACAGUCUGUUUUCCUCCAUCUGUUUCAUGUUGAAGAUUCAUACAAUCUCUUUUAUUGGGCUUUUGCUUGAGUGAUAGAAUAUACCUAAAUGACCAAAAAGCUUGUACUGCUUCCCAAGUCACCAUCUAAUAAUAUAAUCACAUGCAUAACGAGACGAAAUUAAAACUUUAUAAUAUAUAUGUGAGUUAUUAAUCUAAUCAAAAUUUAUAUAAAUAUAAUCAAUAAGUUUUUGUAUUGUUGCUAAUUGAGUUUUAAUUCUAUUGGGGUUUGAGUGCUCUUAAAUACGUUUUGUCCUCUAAUUUAAGGGAUUGAGAGAAGUUAGAAGUAAUUCUAGACCUUGUAUUAAAAAAAAGGAAUACUAAGAUUUUGAAUUUUUGAGUACUUAAAUUUGAGUCCCAUUAUAUACAAUUGUCAUGUAUAAGUUUUGACCAAUUAUUUUAAACGAAUUAUAAAAUUGAAAAAUGGGUUGGGCUCAACUCGCACCUUAAAUAUUAGAAUUCAAUCCUAAUCCAUAUUUCAAAGAAGAUAAAUUUUAAGUAAACUACACUAGUAACCAUUUAACUAUUGAUAAGUUUAUUUUUUAGCUAUCCAAUUAUGCAAAGUUAUACAAUAGUCAUUCAACUAUUUAAUUAUCUUUUUUUUUUCUUUUGUCAUUGACCAUUAAAUAGCUGGGAAAGAUGCAGUUUUUAAAAUAGGCAUAAUAACAACUUUAACCAUCUAACAUUUAUAAUUAUGCCAAUUUAAUCUUAAUUCUAAAAAAUUAACCCUUAAAAUUUAUCCAAUAUACAACAUAACCAAAAUUCCAGUGGUUUUAUCUUAUAAACUUAGAUUGAAUGAAAUAAUGAUUAUUUUGAAUGAUAAGUUCACAUUUCUGCUGUGGAAAUGAGUUGGGAGAAAGUAGGACCAGUAAUUACCUCUCAUGAUACAGAAGAUUAAUUAGUUUUUUUGUUUCUUCUGGGCAAAUAACAAUAUUAUUCAAAGCAAGAGCGAUACAGGGUGGUCACCAAACUUUCGAUAAUGUAUAGCUCAGAACUUAUCCUUAGUUAUGCUUAAGAAAAUUUUGAAAAUGAUAAAUUCAUGUAAUUGGCUAAUCGGUUACCCCAUAAACUAAUGUAGCAUGCUAGGAUGGUACUUGGCCUGUUAUAUGAUACUAGAUGACUUUCCUUUAAGUAUUCUAAAUUUACUAAACCCUAAACCACAACUAAUUUUUAAGGUAUAAAUAGGGGCCAAAGGCAAACAGCCUAAGUGUUUAGAGCAAUAGUUGAUCUUACAACUUCCAGUUCCACCAUAGCUUGUGUUGCAAAUGGCAGCUAAAUUUUGGCACCAGCUUCUUAUGGUGCUUGUGUUCCAGCCUUUUGUAGCCAUGUCUAGGCCAGUGAAAGGAGACAUUGGUAAUGGUGGUAAUAAAGUGAAGCCAUUGCUUCCAAGUUGUAAUGGCAGUGAGGGAAGACAUGACGUGUUUCACUUGGUUGAAAACUACUCCUCCUCAAAUGGGAUAACCUCCGUUGUCCUUCAUUUUGCGAUCAACAAGUGAGAGAUGCCAUAGAUGCGGCAUUUGGAACAUGACAGCCUGCUCUUUCUGGAUUGUUUUUUCCAAAAGGUAGUCCGAGAAGACCAAGCUAAUAUUACAUUUUCUUUAUUUUCCCACAUUGGGAUGGAACCAACUAGACCUUCAAUCAGGAGCCAUGCAUGAAAUAGGACAUGCUCUGGGCCUCGGCCAUAGUCGAAAUCCAAAUGCAGUCAUGUAUUACAGGCUUGAUUGUGGAAGGAAGAAAAGGAACCUUAGCCAAGAUCACAUUACUGGCUUACAGACUUGAUAUGCCUGGCUACCAUGACCUUGCGUCAGUUCAGUGAAACCUAUACAUUCAGCUCUGUAAAGUAUAUAUAUAUAUAUGCGUAAAGUAAUCUGAAAUGAAGUUGCUAUGCCCUAUCUAUUCUCCUGUAAUAACAAUACAUUUGAAUUAACUCCUGCUAAAGAAGAUAGAACCAGAUAAAUGAUAAAAGUCUAGGCUUCAAAUAAGUUGUUGGUCAAAUUUUAAGGUUGAGCUCUCGAUAAUUUUGAGGUGACAAAAUUAAGUUUCAUUUUAUGUUAACGUUAAGGCUGAGGUUUUGAGAAAUUUUAAUGUCAAAUUUAAAUCUCUUUUAUUGUUGAAUUACUUAUUCAAUUUAACACUUAUAAAAUGGUUUAUUAUAAAAUAUAACCAAACUUGACCCCUAUAGUAAUUAAUAAAAAUAAUUAAGCUGAUAUAUCUCAGGGGUUACGAUUACUUUUGCUUUCCAUCAUUUAAUUUCAUUUAGAUGAAACUUUUUAGGGAUAAUAAAAUACUUAAUUAAUUUUAUACUUUAUCAAAUAUUUCAAAUUAAAGAAGGCCAUUUUGGUAUCUUAACUUUAAUUUUACCUAUCACAAUGUUAAAAUAUAAAAUAAUAAGACGUGUAUUAAUUGUAGGCCAAAACAUGUCAGAAUUUGUUAUAUUAUUUUAUUGAGGUAACUUAAAAAGGGUGUAAAGUGAUAAAGUAUAUUGCACUACCAAAAGAGAGAGAAUGUUGAUUUGAAUCUUAGUGACAAUAUUGUUAGAAAAAAUAACUUCGAAUCUCGAACCUUAAAUAUAAAUUGUAAAUCAAACAUGAAAAGAAAAAUUACCUUGAAAAUAUUCAAAGUCGUCUUCUUUGCAGGAGUUGAUGUUUUCCCUUGGAUAUCUAUUUGCACGAAAAAGGGGUGAAUGAAGCUAGCUUUGAGGUUGGGUGCUUCUUGACAAAACCCCAAAGUUAUCUAUUUUCUGGGACAAGGCGGCAUCGAAAACUUUGUUUUUGCUAAAUCAAAUUCACCCAUACACCAUUUUUUGAAUUAAAAUAACUCUGUUACUGAAGUAGCAUAUAAAUAAUUCAUGUAUGAUUUUAGUAUACAUAUCUAAUAUAAAAUAAAGAAGAUAUAUACAAGAACUGUGAAUGUUUGUUGAUUAAGAAUAAAACAAAGCGUUUAUGUACAAACUUAUGAACAUGCAAGAAAAUAAUGUCACCUGAGCCAGGAAUGCAAGGGGGUUUGAAUUAUUUCCAAUAAAAAAUAUAACUUCCAAUCAUCUUUCAAAUACAAUUCAUAUGCAAUACUCACACUGUCCAAGAAAUAUAGCUUAAAACCCAUAGGCAAUACUCAACCUAUCCACAAUUAAGGCACAGUGAAGGCUGAACAUAUUAUUACCAUUACAUCUCUAGUUCUUCCCUGUGCCUGGUCCUGGCUACUAAGCUUUCCACCAUUCAUUUCCAAUCAAGCAUGUCUAACAGCCACAAUACCUCUUCUUGGGAAUUGGCGGCAUCACAAAAGUCCAUCUCAAUGCCAAAAACAUCAAUGACACCAUCGCUUCUGUCUUCCAUGAAAAGCAAGGAGAUCCAUGCCCGGAUUCCUGAUAUAAAGGGAUAAUAGGGAGAGAAGACAAGGUAGUCGAAAGCUAGAGCCCUGGAAGCUGUACGAUCUAUGUAAUCAAACAUCGAUUUAUUUAUUAUGCAAGCAACCUUGUUUGAGUCCUUCCGCCCCACAAGCACUGAAACACUCACAGUCUGGCUCCAAGGAAUGGUGAACCUCGGGUCAACAGGUAAGAUCAUCUUGUACUCGGGGCCUUGAAGAUGAAACUUAAGCAUGUCGCAGAUUCCAGCAGGUCGGAUCUUGAUUCCUCUUUGGAGGACAGGACCGGGGACAACUUCGGAGAAAAUCAAUUUAUCUUCAGUCCAAAUGUCAAUGAAGAAUUCCAAAUCAUCAAAGGAAAGUCUUGGAGGGAGGAGCGUUCGCUGAUGCUUCCGUUUGUAAAACGUUUGAUAUAGUUUAUAGUAGGUUACAGUAGGAGGAUUGGGUCGUUUGCAAAUGGAGGGCCAUCUCUUUGCACAUACACAUUUCCAAAAGUAAUCAUCUUUAGCUAUGUGUCUCCAUUGCUUACAGACCACCAUACAAGCUGCAAGGUCUACACCAUCUAAAAAAGGAAAAACAACCUUCAAAACUUCUUCUAAUGACAUUUUCGUAGAGCAAAAUGACCAUCAGAAACGAGACAAUAAUUUGCUGCAGCAAACCGGAAUCAUUUAUAGCAGCACCAGGUGUAAAAGAACUAAAAAGCUGAUGACUUCCUGUAAAAGCAACAAAAUUAAGUUUUCAAUAUCAAAGUAUCCAUGGAUCAAUAUUAAGCACAAAACAAGAAUGUCAGACAUACAUUUGUGCGGCAAGCUGUCCGUAGAAACAUCAAAAGGUACAUACAACAGAAUACUAUACAAAGGGCAUUCUAAUUGUCUAUGAAGCAAAAACAUUCUUUCAGGCAACAGAGUUUGUCCUAAAGAAGUCGAUGUAAAAAGAUAGGAAACAGCAAAUUUUCUCUUCCCCAAGUUAGCUACUACCAUACUGUGAUCGGGUCAAUAACCUCUAAAUACAAAUACAAUUUGUACAAUGUCAACUUACAUCGACAACAAAACAUAAAUCUAUGAUUACCAAGCUUAAAUCUGACUCACAUACCUUCCCUUCCCAAUCUGUCAGAUAUAGAUCAUGAUACACAAAGGCACACACACAUAAUGUGAGUUUAAAGCGUUCAACUUACAGUAUUAACAUUUCAACAGCCAAUUCGACACCGAGCGCGAUUACUGAACUCCAUAUAAUACCUUUCUAGCUUUACAAUUCACAUAAGUAAAACGCAAAAGCACAUAUAAUUACGAGCGCAAAAUUUCCGCGUACAACCCAGUUUUACCUCAAACAACUAGAACAAAGCCCAAAUUCAUAAUAUACAACCCUAAAAAUAGCACCCAGAAAAAAAGAUCAUAACUUCGACUAAAUAUAAAAAUUGAUACAAACCCAGAAAAAGGAACCCCUACAGUUAUAUCAUAUGUAAAAAAAAACGAACUUUCUAACACACAUGAAAAAUUCACAAAAAGAAAUGGAGAAAGAACAAACCACAGAUCGAGAGAAAAAAGAAAAAAAGCUAGUAGGAGAUUCACAACAAAUAGAAGUAGUGAGAGUUAUUAUUCACCUGAUUUCACGGUGGAACUUUGAGGGAAAAAUUUCAGCGGAUUUGAUUUUUGGUCUGUUUUACUAAUAUUAUCAUUCAGGCCUCGAAAGCAAAGAAACGACAAGCGGAAGGUUAGAGAAAAAGAAAGGGCGAAGAAAUAAUUAAAUGGGAAGAGAGAGGCUGAGGCUGCCGAUUAGACUAUAAUUAUUGCCAAUACCUAGGGUUGACAACUCUUAUUUUAACCAAACUGCAAUAAAUUACAACAUUGAAUUUUGAAAAUAUUUAAAUAGACAUAAAUUAAUAAAAAUGUAAAGAUUUUACAUCUUAAUGUGGGGAAAUAGAAUACUAUGUAAAUUUAUAUAAAAAUAGAUAAAAAGAAAAUUAAAAUUCAAUCCUAUGGUUAACGAUUUUUAUUUUUCCAAAAUAUAAUGUUAAUACGAACUAUAUUAGUCGCCUUUGUUAUUUAGACUUUAUCUUAUUAUUAUAAUUUAUAAAAAAAAACAAAAAUUAAAAUUAAGAACAUCAUAAUUGAUGGAUUGGACUUUGCACCCUUGAUAGAUUUGGUUGUUCUUUGAUAAAUCUAAAAUAUUAAGUAUAUUAUUUUAUUAAUUUUAAAUUCACAUUUUAAAAUUUGUUUAUGUACAGAAAAAAAUUAUAUUGUUUAAAAAUAAUACAUCUUUAUUUUCAUAAUUACUUUAUUUCAUAAUUUUAAUCUUAUUAAUAUAAUAUCUUAUAUUCUUUUACAUAUUUUAAUAAAAAUUAAACAUAAUACUUAGAAUAUUUUCAUUUAAAAAAAUAAAUAUAAUUUAUUUUUAAUAUAUUUAUAACAAUAAAUUUAAUUUAUUUCUUUUCAAUAUUGUGAUAAAUAACUAUUCAUCACUUCUAUUAAAAAUUUUAAUUAAAAGAAAAGUUAUUAUGAUUAUCAAACACAUUUAAAAAUUUUAAUUUUCAAUAAAAUAAAAAAAUUUGAUGGUUUUUUAAACACUCCUUUAAGCAACGAUGGAUAUAAUCUGAUAAAGAAACCCAAACAAAUAAAAUAGACAUUUUAGAGGCCCAAUUUUGCUCGGGGCCCAAUAAACCUUAAAACCCAAAACAAAAACCUAAAGCCCAAACUAUAACUCAAUUACAAGCCUGAUCACCUAAACCCUAAUGGCCCAAUUAACCCAAAACAUAUCAGCUAAACAAAAACCCUAAGUGCCUUCCAGCGCCGCACCCUCUAGCCACCCCAUGUGCCUCCGCAGCAUGCACCCUGCUCGAUGUCUGCGCCCUCUCGCACCAAAAUGGCAAAAAGCCGAAACAUUCGCCUUUGACUCCGCCGAUCCUGCAAAAAAGGACAAAGAAGGAAAGCCAAAACGAGACGCAACAGCAGAGAACCAAAACAAAACGCAAAUAGUAGCAGAGACAAUAUUUUUUCUAAUAUUUGUAAUCGGCUAUAAAGCCGAGAAGAAACCAAUGUAAUGGGGUUUUUUUUAAUACAAAAAAAAAAUUGUAUUACACGAAUAUUGAGUAAUAAUAGGCAAAAAAAAAAGGAAGCAAAGGUUUUAAUCUUGGAUUUCUUUUUCCUUUUUUUCAUUUCGAUUUCCCUUUUUUAUUUGCUAUUUCAAAUUUGUUUUAAAUAAAAAAUAUAAAGAGAAUGAGAGAAGGAGAAGAGACUUACCCUGGUUAAUCGUUGAAAAAUCGGUGACUUUUGGUGUUCCGACCGCCGUGACGGUGGCAGAACCUGCGGCCGUCGACAACCAGUUUGGGUGCCAGAUCUUGGAAAGGGAAAAGGGGUUGAGAGGAUUCUUCAAUUUUUUUUGUGAGGAGAGUGUUAAAAGUGAAUAAAAAAAUCUGAAAUUUUGUGUUAUAUAGCAACCAUAAAACGCGCCGUUUUGAAAGUUGAGUUCAGAGGCCAAAACGACGUCCUUUUGGCCUCUGACCCGUGAUCCGACCCGAAUAUCUCCCAGGAUCCACGUGUUUUCGCAUGGAGGGGAAAUUUUAUAUUUCGGUCCCUCCGCUUUCUAAAGACUAUUCAAUCUGAUCCUAUUUUCAUUUUUCUCUUUUAAAUUUAGCCAUGUGAUUUUAGUUCCAUUUUAUUUUCAUCCCCUUUGGAACGGUGCGUUUAGGGAUAUGGGGAAUAAUUUCUCACUUGAUCCUCGUUAUUUGUUCGCGUGUUCAGUUUAGGCCCUCUCCUAUUUUUAUUUUUUACGAUUUAUCCCGUUUAACUUCAGUUGGUUUUGAUUCAGUCCUUAUUUGUUAUUUAUAUUACACUCCAGGCCCUAAAUUUCAUUUUUGAUUCCGAUUUAAUCUUUUAUUCGUUUAAUUCCCAUCUUUAUAGGUUAUUAUGUUUUUGUUUUAUUUAUUUACGCAUAUGCCUAUUUAUUUAUUUGUUUCCUUAUACUCUCGUUUCAUAUUUUAAAUUUACAUUGUUAUGUGUUCUGUCAUUCAUGUGUUUCAUUAUUAUAAUUAUUAUUAUAAUUAUUACUAUUAUUAUUAUUUUCAUCACUAUUAUUAUUUCUAUUUAUUAUUAUUAUUACUAUUGUAUUACUACUACUAUUAUUAUAUUGUCUUCUUUUUUUUUGUAUUUACACAUAAGUUAUUAUUAUUAUAUUAAACGAGUUAAUAUUAUUUUUUAAAUACAUUUAUUUUUUAUUGUCAUUAUUAUUAUCAUUAUUUUUAUCUUGUCUUUGCUAUUUUACUAUUUUUCAUAUUUUAAAAGACUUUCUACUUAAUACUACUUAAUACUUAUUUAUUUAUUUCUUUUAUGUACUUUAUGCAUACAUGUUAAAGUUCGCAAAGUUAAUGUUUUCUAUAAAUGAUUGUUGAUUCGUAUAUAUUCUUACUAUUAAAUUUUACUCAUGCUUUUGUUCAUCAUUUGCUCCCUUUUAUGUACAUGGUUUCAUCAUUGUCCCAUUUAUUUUAAAAUAUUUUAUGUUGUGUUUGUUUGUUUUUACAUCAUGUAUCUCUGUCUUAUUGCUUUAUUCAUUGAUCGAGAUUCGUUUACUAAUAUUGUAUCCACCUUUGUAAUUUUAUCAUUGUCAUUAUAACACUGUAUCACAUAUCGUAUAUCACUUUAAAUGUUGCUUUAAUUUUCACCAAAAUUUAUAAAAUAAAUUACUUAAUAAAGGCGAUAUUUUGUGUUUUAGAAAUUCGAGAAAUCGUGCCCUAACAUGUUGGUUUCGAUUUUUCGUUUGACCAAACAACCGGAUACCCUUUUUAAAAUGUCGUCCGUGUUUUCUUUAAAUAGAAUAAGGGCAAUAUUUCGUGUUUGGAGAAUCUAGAGAUCGCGCCCUAAUGUGCUGGGUUUCGAUUUUCUUCAUUUGACCCAAAUGACCGAAUAACCUUUUAAAAUUAAAAUGCAUGAGUUUUGAAAAUCAAAAGACAAGCUUAUUCUUGAUUAUUUAAAAUGUCGUGUCCUAACGUGUUGGAUGUGACAUUUAAUUACCUCGGGACAAGAAGGUCUUUAACAUCUGCUUUGAUUUAUUCAAGCGUUUUAAAAUUAACACUAAUAAAAAAGGGGAUCGUAUUCUAAAUUCUUUUCGAGAUUUUAAAUUUCGACAUUAAGACAUUAAUUAAUCAAUUAUGUACCAAUUUUGGGUGUUACGAGGGUGCUAAUCCUUCCUCGUACGUAACCGACUCCCGAACCCGUUUUCUCAAAUUUCGUAGAAUAAAAUCGUUGUUUUAGUAAAUUGAAAUAUUUUAUUAAAAUAACCAAAUUUCUAGGUAAUCCGAUCACAUCUAAACAAAAAAGAUUGGUGGCGACUCCAUGUUCGUUUUCUUUUUAAAAUAUAAAAUCAAUCCCCGUUUUUUCAAAAAAAUAGUUUCGGCAGACAUAAAUAGCGAAUAUGUUAAUUAAAAUUAGAUCUAUCCAAGAAUAAACCUGGAUUGCGGAAAUUACUGAAUUUUUUGUUUAAGCGUUUCUGCUCGAUAAUUUGAAUAUACAAUUUAUGGUAUUAAUUUUUUUAAAAAUAUUUUUAUAUUAUUAUUUAUAUAUCUUAUAGUUAAAUUUAAAUAAAAAUUUAAUUAUUAAAUAACAAUUCAAACCAUGUUCAGAAAUGGUAGGGGGUCGAGUAUAUAUUUUUUUUAAUCAUUCAAAUUUGAUUCUAACUUAAAUAUUAUUAUCCAUAGAAUAUUCUAAGAGAUGAUGACAAAAUUUUCAAUAUGGUACCCUACUUUUAAUUUGUCCGAUUUAGUAUUUAACUUUUUCUUUAUCUAACCUUUCAAUACAUCGAGAUAAUGACAUUAAUUCUAUCUCUUUUUUUUUUUUUUUACAUGUGGGCCAAUGAAUAAAUGCAUGACAGGGCAGGCCAAGUCUAAAUUGGUAAUUGAGUGAAAAAGAAGACUUGCAAAUAACUUUUCGUUUUCUUUUCGAGAGUUUUUAUUUUUUGGGGUGCUGCCUUAUUCACUCGUUUUCAUUGGUACAACUUAUGGGGAUUACAUACUUGCAAAGUAACCAAAUGAUUACAAGAGUAAAAAAAGAUAUGAAUCCUAAAGUAAGGGUGAGUAUUAGAUCGAGUAGAGUCAAAACAAGUAAAAAAUUUUCGAGUUAGUUGAGUUGACAAAUCCUAUUUUAGCAAUCGAACUCAAUUUGAAUUUUUUUUAAAUUGAAUUGAAUCAAGUCAAAAAAUUUUGAGUCAAAUCGAUUCGAGUUAACAAAUCCUAUUAUUUAUACUUAAUGUUGCGUUUAGAUAGACCGAUUAUUUAACUAGUAGAAAAAGUACAAUAUUAUUUAAUUACAUGAACAAUAUAAUGAUUUUACCUUUUAACUUAAUGGGUAAACAUUUAUCAAAAUGGUGUAGUUUUAUAUUUUUUUAUUUUGAUUUUCGAAUAACUUGAAUUGUAUAAUUCAUACUCGAGUUAAACCGAAAAACUUAAUUUUUUAUUUGAGUUCAUCCGAAUAACUUGAUUAACUCAAAUAAUUUGAACUAUUUAAUUCAAAUUUUUAAUUUUUAUUGAGUUUUUUUAAUCGAAUUGGAUAUUAUUCAUCCCUAAUCCCAAAGCAGAAAAUAAAUCCACUUUUAAAAUAUUAUAAUAGCUUAAAUGGUUCAGGCAAAGAUUCGAAUCCAUUAUCAAAGUUGGAUAAUUGAUUUGACUAUCAUCAAGAGAACAAAACCCCCUCUCAAAAACAAGCUCGGAGAGUAUGAAUAUAUAUUGAUGAAAUUAAGAGAGAGAAAAAGAAAAAAGAGUUUGUUUUUUUUUUUAAUUUUUAGUUUUGAUGAGAGAAAAGAGUAUUUAGGGGAUGCCUAUAGGUAAAAUUUUGAGCAAGUCCUUCUAUUUUGAUUGGUUUGUUUUUUGUUUUAGCUAUAGUGCCACAUGGCAACCAUUUGUUGGCCCACAUGUCAAAAAAAAGAUAGAAAUUAAUGUUGUCAGCUUGAGGUACUAAAAGGUUAGACAAAGAAAAAAUUAAGGUGCCAAAUCAGACAAAUUAAAAAUAUAAUACCACAUUAAAUUUUUUUGUUAAAAUAUAGGGAGAUUUUUGCAUUAACCAAUAUCUGAAUUAGCAAAAAUCUAAUUUUAAAAAUUUUAACCAUAUCUCAAAUAUUUGAACCCACAAAAAUCUAAAUUUGCUAAAAUUCUUUUUUUAAUAUAUAUAAAAUCAAACAAAUUAGUUUUAAAUAACAUUUACUUGUAAUUAGAAACAGUAAUUUUAAACACAGUAAACUAUACUCAAGGUCACAAAAUUAUUAGUAAGUUUAUGUUUUGGUCACUUAAUAUUAAAAAGUUAUAAAAUGAUCACUGAACUAUUUAAAAGUUUUCAUUUAAGUCGUUGAAUUAUUCUAAAAUUUUUAUUUAAGUCAUUGGGUUGCUAAUUUUUUUUAAAGUCUGGCUAGUGAGCUCCAAGUAACAAUUCAACGAUCUGUACGGUGGAUCAAUACUUAUUGACAAGUAGAAAACAUACUUUAGAUCCAAGUCGAUCUGACGGUCAGUGUUAGAGAUCAGAGAAUAAAACUGUUUAGAUUUUGGUUUGCAAAUUUAUGACAUUUAAAAUUGUUUCAUAAAAAAAAAAUCAAUUGUAGAAUAGAAGGAAAAGGGAAACUUUUGAUUGGUGCAAACAGUAUAAACAAAAAAAGACCAUACAAUAAUGAUUUUAACAAUCUAAUGACUUAAAUGGAAACCUUCAAAUAAAUAAAUUAUUAUUUUAUAACUUUUUAAAAUUAAACGAUCAAUACAUAAACUUACUAAUAAUUUAAUAACAUUAAUUUAUCCCUUUAAAUAAAACUUACCCAUAACUAAUUUUAAAUAAUCGCGAAAAUAAAUUAACAAAACCAACUAAAUAAUAAUAUCCAACAACUUAAACAUAACCAUUACAAACAACUUAAACAAUACAAAGACAAUUUUGUAGCAUAAAAGCAAUUGUGAAAAAUCAAUUUUAUUUUCUUUGAAAAUUAGGAUUGGGUCCUAUGUAAAAAAAAAAAAACAUCACUUCAAAUUAAGAUAUAAAGUAAUGACUUUUACUUUGCUAUUUACAAAUAAAACAUAUUAAUAUCAGACAUCAUUUCAUUUGAGAAUUAGUUGAGAAUAAUCUAUUGAAUUGAAAUAUGUGUCUACUCAAAGUUAGCUAAUUGGUGUUGUAACGACCCGAAUUUUACCGUUAUCGAAAAAGUGUAUUUUCGGGUCUCCGUUUCUGAAAAAUGGAUUCGUAAAUAUUUAUUAAAAAUAUUUACGAAGUCAAUUGAGUGGUUAAUUAGAGUUUAAUUAAGUAAAUUUAGUUUAAUUAAGAGUAAUUAGGAAAAAUGACUAAAUUGAAUAAAGGAUGAAAGUUGAAUUGUAGAUUAAAAGAAAAUGAAGAGGACCAAAAUGGAAAUUAUGCCAUUUGUCCUGAGUGAGGCGGCAUAAACAUAAAAAUCUGAGAUUUUUUAUGUGUUAAAAUAUAUAUAUUAAAUUAUUAUUAUAUUAUAGUAUAUUAUAUUAUAUAUUAUAUUAUAUAAAUAAGUAAAGAAACAUGAGUGAAAGCAAACGAAACAGAGAAGAAACAGGGGAGAAAGAAAGAAAGAAAAAGAAAAAGGAAAAUUUGGGUUUCAAGGCUCAAAGUUUAAUUUGGUAAGUCAAUUAAGUCAUUUCUUCUUAAAUUUUGAUGUUUUAGAAGCUUUGGAACAAGACUUUGAUGAAAUUAAGUUGAUAUUUUGAGAGUUUAUAGAUUUUCAAGUAUAGUUCAUGUUGAAUAAAAUAGUGAAUUAAGGGUUUAAUUGAGUAAAUUUCAAGCUAGAAUUGAUAAUAGGAUCAAAUUGUAAAGUAAGUUAUAAGUUUUAUGUUGUAGGGACUAAAUUGAUGAAAUUUUGAAAUUAGGAAAGUAUGCUGGAAAUUUAAUAUUUAAAUGAGAGUAUGGAUGAAAUUUGAAUAGAAAUAAAGUAUGAAUUAAGAUAGAAAAGUAAGUGAAUUUAGUUAGAAUUAAAUUGAAAUUAAAGUAAAUCAACAUUUUGUACUAAGACUAUUUUGGACAGCAGCAGUAGUCUAAGUUUGAAAAAAAUCACCAAAAAUUGUAGAAAUUGAAUUAGAGGAUGAAUAAAAUAUGAAAUUAAAUAUUAUUGAGUCUAGUUUCUUAUAGAAGAAACGAUAUAAGCAAUUGAAUUGUAAAUUAUGAGAUAUAAUAAAUUUUGUGAGACAAUGUCAGAAUGAAUUCGGGUUCCCCUGUUCUGACUUUGGAAAAUCACCAAAAAUUGAAUAAAAAUAAUUAGAGGCUUAAAGUUAUAUGUUUAGAAUCCCUAAUGAGUCUAUUUUCAUUAGAAAUCAACGAGAAUGUUAUCCGAGUUCUGUACUGUGAGAUAAUUAAUUUUUAGUGAAGAAGGGACGAAACUGUCAGACAGCAGAAUAGGGGUGAAUUUAAAGAAUAAACUAUACUUAAUGGCUAAACCAAAAAUUCUAAAAAUUUUAUUGUAAGAAGAUUUGUGAGUCUAGUUUCAGGAAAAUUAGCGGAUCUUAAUUUAUAAUUCUAUAACUCAAGGUAUGAAUUAGUAAUGUAUUAAUGAUUAUGAAUUGUAUUAAUUUCGUAAUCAAUGUGGUACCAGAAAUCUCGGCUAAGAAAGGACAAGACAAAGUCAACGGGAGUUAUCUCAAAAAUUACGGUUUGUAUUUCUAUGAUCCGAACCUAAUACUUAAUUGUUGAAUUUAUUUCUUAAUAUGUAUAUUAAGUGUUUUGAAGUAAGAAUUAUUGUGUUUUGCAAAUGAAAUGGAUUGAUAUAGUAUGUGAUGAAUUUAUUGAAUUUAUAUUGAUUGAAUUGGCGUAUAUAUAUAAAUAUAUAUAUUGAAUAUUGAAUAUAUAUUGAUUAUUUGAAUUGAAUUGAAAUAUAAAUUGUUUGAAAAUUUUAAAUAUGAGAUUUGUGAUAUUUGGAUAUUUGUUAUUGAAAAGUGAAUUGAAUUGUAUUGAAUUAUGAAUUUAUGUGAUUAAUUAAAAUGUGUAUUGAUUGAAAAAAAUUGAAAGUGAAUUGAAUACCCUAUUAACAGUAUCGGGCUGAGUCGGAUAUAGUUGGCAUGCCAUAGGAUUGGAACUGUUCAGGGAUUCUUCGACCUCGAGUCGAUGAGACACUGGGUGUCACUAUAUUUCUUCGGAUAGAUUCGAUGAGGUACUGGGUACCAACUUUACUUCGGCAGGCCGAUGAGACACUGGGUGUCAAAUGUUGCUUCGAACUAUCCGAUGAGGCACUGGGUGCCAUAUUGGUGUGUUUGGUUGGAUCCGUGUAUCCGCCAAGGUCCGAGUCUUGUUAAUAAGGGUAAAUAAGUGAAAAGAUAAGUCGAGUGAAUUUGAUUGAUUGAGCUAUUGGAAUGAAAUGAGAAAUUGAAAUUGAGAUAUGAGAUUGAAAACAUGAACCAAAAGGUUCAUGAAAUGAGUGAAGUUCAAAUGGAUGAUGAUUGAUGUUAGAAUGAAUUAAAAUGGUAUAUUGUUAAGAAAUAAAGUGUGAAAACAAGUGAAUUGUGAAUAUAUUGUAUAGAAUUUAUACGGUAGGCAAAUGAAAAGAAUUGAACAAAUAUGUUAUUGUGUUUGUUAUAUGACUUGUCUAGAAUUUAUAUGGUAAGUAAUUGAAAAUUUAUCUAUAAAACAAAUAAAUGAAUACUUAUAAUUGUUAUUGUGAUUUUAAGUUUAAUUGUUCUAUUAUUAAGUGUUCGGAUUAUGGAAAUACCACUGAGUAUACCAUACUCAGCGUACGGUUUGUUUCCGUGCGCAGGUUUAGUAAAGAUAGAACGUUGAAUCAGCAUCUCAGUUCGAUCCCGAAUUCAUUAAGGUAAAGUGUGUUAAUUAUUGGUAAUGGCAUGUACCUAGGUUGUUUUAUGAGAGUCAUUUAGGUUGUAGAUGUACUCAUGAAAUGAGUAAAUUAUGGUUGGCAACGGUAUGUAGUAUGAAUUUUGAAAUUUACUAAAAAUUCGUAGUGAUUCUAAAUUAGUCCCGAAUUAAAUUUACUGUUCAUAUUGGACCGCGAGGGCCCAUUAAAGGGACAACAUCUUAAAACUAGGAUGUGUGUAAAUAUUUAUUUUAAUUAAUGACCGAAAUUGGACUGUACUGACUGGUAAUGUCUCGUAACCCUGUUCCGAUGACGGUAUAGGGUUAGGAGGCGUUACAGGUGUGUUCCUCAAAACCUUAGACUAAAACAGAUUUGAAAGCUUGAAAAGCUUAAUUGGAGUAUGCGGAGCUUAAAGUGUUAACUAUGUUUUGGAUGACAUCUACAUGACGUAACUUGAUCUAACUAAAUUAUAUAAUGUAUAAAUGUUGAGCAUUAAUUUUUUAGAAUAAAAUUUAAAUUGAAACAAUGCAAAAAUAUUGAGGUUAAAAUUAUUAUUAUACCAAAUUUAAAAAUUGUUAUGUGUUUUUCCCUGUUAACCAUUUAAUAGUUAGUGGUCAAAAAAAUAUAAUCAAAUGACGAAUUUAUAAAUUUUUAUAAUUAGGUAACUCAAAAUAAAACUUACUAAUAAUUGAGUAAUUAUUAAUUUAGUUUUUCAACGCAUGACAGGUGGGAGGGUCCAUGGUUUUACAGUCCAAGAGUGCGUCCAAAAUGUUCAUUAAUUCGCUCUGCAAGACGUUGUUCCUUGGUUCCCAAACUAGCCCUUAUUAUUAUUAUUAUUAUUACUACUUGAAAUAUAUUAACUGGAUUUUAUUAUUAACCUCUAAAAGAAAAAGCCCAACAAAACAUAAAAUCCAGGCAAUUUUACUAAAUUGAUAAAAAAAAAAUUGAUUGAUAAAAAAAAUUGAUAUUUAUAAAAAUUACUCAAAUUUAAAAACAAUAAUCAAAAUGACUUGAAAUGAACAGUAAAAUAGAGUUUUGGCGUGUCAAUGGCUGGCACCAAUUCGUAUUUUAGACUCAUGAUUGUCUGAUAAUUGUGUCAGGCUUUAAAAUUUUGAUUUUUUUGAUUCUAGUCUAUCAAUGGCCGGCACCAGUGUAUUUUUUUUAAAAUCGUAUCAUACCGGUAUACAAAAAUACUAGUAUUUUAAAAAAAUUUUGGUGUUAUCCUGUCAAUAACCGACACCAGAGUAUGAGUUUUAAAAAAAAAAUUGGUGCUGACCUGUCAAUGGCCGGCACUAAGUACAAAAAAAUAAAAUCAAAAAUUUUUCAACUUUUUUUUCAUUUUAAUUUAAUUUAAUUUCAAUUAUUUCAUUUCAUUUUUUUCGAUUCAUUUCAUAUUAUUUUUUUCAUUUUUUUUAUAUUAUUUUUCAUAUUAUUUUUUUCAAUUCAUUUUAUAUUAUUUUUUUCAUAUUAUUUUUUAACUCAUUUCAUAUUUUAUCAAAUUAAUUAGAAGUGGUCUUAGAGUCAUUUAAAUUUUUUCAUAUUUUAUCAAUUUUUUUCAUCUACUCCUUGCUUAAGAAGCAAUUGAAAUGAAAUGAAAUUAAAAUGAAAUAAUUCUCAAGCCUAUGCAUAGGUGAUGCAGGCUAAGCCUACAGAUUAAUCUUGUCAAGAUUUCUUUUUUUUUUUUCAUUUCUUUUCAUUUUCAUUUCAUCUUAAUUUUAUUUCAUUCCAAUUUCAUUUCAUUCUAAAUUCAUUUCCAUUUCCAUUUCCAUUUCAUUUCAUUUAAAUUAUAUUAUUUUUAAUUUAUAUUUAUAUUUUUAUCAAUUUAAAUUUAUUUUUUUCUCAAUUCAUUUAUAUUAGUUUUAAAUUUAAAUUUAAUUUUUUUCUCAUUUCGUUUAAAUUUUCUAUUUUUCAAUGCAAAUUUAUUUAUUUUGUCAUUUCUUUUAAAUUAUCUAUCUUUCCAUUUAAUUUUUUUUCUCAUUAUAUUUAAAUUAAAAGUUUCUCUCAUUUCAUUUAAAUUUAUCUUUCUUUCAAAUUUAAUUUAAUUUUUUUCUCAUUUCAUUUCAAAGAAAUUUUUUUCCUCAUUUCAUUUAAAUUUAUCUUUCUUUCAAAUUUAAUUUAAUUUUUUCUCAUUUCAUUUCAAUGAAUUUUUUUUCCUCAUUUCAUUUAAAUUAUCUUUCUUUUAAUUUUCAUUUAAAUUUUGUACCAUUUCAUUUCAAACAAAAUUUUUUUCUCAUUUCAUUUAAAUUAUCAACCUUUCCAUGUAAUUUUCAAUUUUUCUCAUACAAUUUAUCUAAUUUUAUUUCAUUUACAAUGUUUUUACAAGAACAUGUAGAUCUUGGAGUCCAGCAUUACGAGACGAUUGACCGGAAACCUAGACACGAUGUAGGCAUGUUGAUCAGUUGUGUUCGGAUGUUCGACACACAUUGCACAGUUUGGGUUCACCCGUCUCCCUGAUAUUGAGACCACUUCUAAUUAAUUUGAUAAAAUAUGAAAUGAAUUGAAAAAAAAUAAUAUGAAAAAAAAAUAAUAUGAGAAAAAUAAAAUGAAAUGAGUUGAAAAAAAAUAAUAUGAAAUGAAAUAAUUGAACUGAAAUUAAAUUAAAAUGAAAAAAAAGGGUUGAAAAAAAUUUGAUUUUUUUUGUACUUGGUGUCGGCCAUUGACAUGCCAGCACUAAAAAAAUCAAUUUUUUAAAGUUUGACACAAUUAUCAGGCAAUCAUGGGUCCAAAAUAUGAGUUGGUGCCGGCUAUUGAUAGGCCAAAACCCCAUUUUACUGUUUAUUUCAGGUCAUUCAGGUGAUUUUUUUUAAACUGGGUCAUUUUUAUAAAUAUCAAAAUUUUUUCAAUCAAUUUAGUAAAAUAGCCUAAAAUCCAAUACAUAUAAAAUAAAAUAGGCCUAUUGAAUAUAUUAAAUUACCAAUAAAUGUUAAAAUAGGCCUAUUCAAAAGAUUAAAUUAUCAAUAAAUAUCGAAAAUGCUUUUAGGUGGAAGCGUUUUCUGUCACUCCAACACUAAAAGUGGCAACACCAAUAAAUUUUUUUAUUGUCUGGUGAAAAUAAAAUUUAUAGAACAGGUAUUUAUAUAGAUCUCAAGUCUUAUUUCCCUUAUUUUCUUAAGCGAUGUGGAUGUGAGAUAUGAUAUAUAUAAACUCAUAAUCUAUUUGCAGCUUGUUCUUAGACAAUGUAAUAAUUAUUAAGAAAAAAAAGGCUUAAUCUAGUAAUUUUUAAAAUUUUUGGCAUUUAUUAAUAAUUUAGUCUAUUCAAGAUUAUCGGCCCAAACCCAACAGUAAGAUUCUUCCAUUAAUUAUCACACCUUUCAAUCCUUCAAAAAAAACUUUUCAUCUUCCCGAUCCUCUUUCAUUUUUUCCAUUAUUCAACUUUCCAAAAUGCAAAUCGACAUCACACAUAUCAAACUUGCACACGGCUUUGUCGAUCUCUUUCCACUAGCUCCUUGACGUAAUCAUGACCCCUCUAUUCAUAUAUAUUUGUUCCCCAUUUCCUAGGCUUUUUGUAGCCAAUUUCAAUCUUCAUUCUUUGGCCAUAUUUGAAAUUGCAGAUCUGGAAUCUCUUACUCAACCAUUAACAGUCUUUAAUGAGAACACAAAUCUCCGAUAUGUCAUCCCUUUUGCUUUUGUAGCUUUUUGAUAAUUGAUAAAACAUCUCCUUCUACUUCUACAGCCAUGACAUCUAGAUCCAACCUCAGUUAAAGCCCCUAGACACAUGCAAGGGUCUCUGCCGCAAAAAUCGAAGGGACCCUUUCGUUUAGAACAAUCCUCGACCCAAAACCUUUCCCUCUAAGUCCCUAAUGACAAUCCCGAAGAAUGAUCUAUUUGGGUAAAUUUUGGGUGAAAGUAUUAUAAUCUAAUUUAUUAGAAAUCAAAUAAUAUUUUGUUUCUAUAUUUAAAAAAAUAAGUAAAUUAGUCUCUUAAAUUAAAAUUUUUAAUAAAAUUUUUUAUUCAUUUAUUAAUUAAAUUUUAACUUAAUUAACAUUAAUAUUGUUACAACUGUAAGAGAAUAUGCAUUCUGAGUGACUAAAACAUAUUGUUUUUUUAUUUAAAUAUUAUGUAAGAGAAUAUGCAUUCUGAGUGACUAAAACAUAUUGUUUUUUUAUUUAAAUAUUAUUUAAAUAGUAGGAGGGGAUAUGGAUAAUUUUUUUUGUUUGAAGUGAAUAUCACAAGUUGAAUAGUUUUCUUGGUCGGUUAUUUAAUUUUUUGAGCACAUUUAUUGUGUGAUGUGAUAGAAACCAAAUUUGCGUACUAUACUUCUAUAAAUUUAAUUUUUGGCAGAGUCAGACGAUUCCAUGGCACUCUUGAAAUUUUGAGAAAUUAUUAUUUAUUUUUAAAAUUUUAUUUCUCUUUUAAAGUUAAAAAAAAAAGUAAAUUCCUCAUAUUUUUAAAAAUUCUCAUUAUACUUUUUAUUUUUUUUAAAUUGUAAUUAAACUCACUUAAAACAUUUAAAAAUUCUUAUUAAUUUCACAAAAAAUUAAAAAUUUCUAAUUAGACCCUUAAUUUUUUUUUAAAAAUCUCAUUAAAAUUUUUAAAAUUUUUAAUAGCCUCAAAACUUAGUCCAAAGAUCUGCUAAUGACUAUUGGUAAGUUUUUUUUGGCACUUAACUAUGAAAGAAAAGUUAUAAAAUUAUCACUUAAUUAUUCAAAUAUUUUUUUUUGGUCACCAAUCGUAAACGAUUGAUUGAAAAAUAACGGGAUAGCUUUUAAAAUUGACAUAAUAAUAGUUUUAACCUUUAAUAUUUAUAACUUGUAUCAAUUUAAUCUUAAUUCUAAAAAAGACUAACCCUUAAAAUUUACAUAUUGUGUAAUUUGUAAUUCUAAAAAAAACUAACCCUUAAAAUUUACACAUUGUGUAAUUUGAACUCUCCUCUCUCUCUCUCUUUUUUUUUUGCCCUUUUUUUUCCUUUUCACCUAAAGAGCUAAAAGAAAAAAAAAAUCUAUCAAGUAAAUUUGAUAAUAUAUAAAAAAGGAAACAUUUGAAAAUUCAAGUUAAUCAUUUUUAGCUUUUCUUAUUUUUUUAAAGUUGACCCUCAACAUUACAAAUAAAGAGAAAAAUUAGGGAAAAAAAAACUAAUUUACACUAUGUGCAAAUGUUGAGGGUUAAUUUUUUUUUGGGAAUCAAGGCUAAAUUAGCUCAAUGUGUAAAUUUUGAAGUUUAAUGUUACUAUUAUGCCAAUUUUAAAAACUGCUAAGUUAUCUUUCAGUUAGUAAUUUAAUGGUCGGUGAUCAUAAAAGAAAAUUUUAAAUAAUUGGGUGUCCAAAAAAGAAAAAAAAUUGAAUAAUUGAAUAACCAUUUUGUAACUUUCAAUAAUUGAGUGACAAAAAAAAUAUUAAUAAUUAGAUGACUAUAAUAAUAAUUAUAAUUAUAAUAAAGUCAAAGUAUUAAUAAUUCAUAUUAUGUUAUCAUGCUUAUAGUAUUUAUAUGCAUAUAAUUAAUUAUAAGUAAUAAAUAUAAUGUAAUUUUUAUUCUUCGUAAUAUGAUAUAUCAUUAUAUUAUAAUAUAAGAAAGCAAAUCAUGUGUCAGGUAGUUUCAUAUUAACAAUUCAUAUUAUAUUAAUCAUGCUUAUAAUAUAUGUUACAUAUGUAAAUAAUACGAAGAUUUAUUAAUUUUUAUAAUACAAUAUAAUAUAUGUUAAAUAUAUGUAUGCCACGUUAUAUGAGUAAGGUUUAAUGAUAAAUUUGGUCAUUAACGUUAAAUGGUCAUAAUUGUAUUUUUGAGUUUUUUUUCAUUAACUUUUGAUUUUUUUUUCAAACUACAUUUUUAAGAGAUUUAAUGAAUAAAUUUAAGGUUUUAAUCUUUCAUACGUUUAUUUAUUGAGAAAGUUUUCUACUGAGUUACUUUUUUUUAGAUAAUUACAUUUAUUUUAUUUAAAUUAAGAGUUAUUUUUAAAUUUAAUGUAUUAUUUAUUUUAUAAUUUUUCACUUGCAAUUAUCUUAUUGGAUUAUCUAAGUACUAAAUUUCAUUUUAUUAAAAAUAUUUCAUAUAUGAAAUUUCACAUCAUUCUCGUAAAUUUUUUUAACUGUACUUUCAUUAAAAUUGUUUAAAAAAAUAGAUUGAAAAAAGAACAAAAAUGAAAGGCCAAAAAACCUUUUUUACGUCUUAUUAAGUAAAAAAAAGGUGUGAUCGAAAGCUUGAUUUUGUUGACGUGGGAGCAUGAAAAAUCCAGAUAACAAGACGGAAGAUACACCAUAAUUAAAUACGUAUAUUAGGGGUAAGAAAAAUCUAAUUCGAAUAGAAAAAUUCGAUAAAAAUUUUAAUUUUGAAUUAAAUAUUUCGAAUUAUUUGAGUUAAUCAAGUAAUUCAGAUUAAUUCGAAUAAAAAAUUAAGUUUUUUGGUUUAACUUGAAUAUGAAUUACAUAAUUCGAGUUAUCCGAAAAUCUAAAUAAGAAAAGACAAAAUUAUGUCGUUUUGUUAAAUGUUUACUUUUUUAAAAGUUAAAAGGCAAAAGACAAAACAAAUUGUAUUGUUUAUGUAGUUAAAAAAUCUUGUGCUUCAUCUACUAGUUAAAUAAUCGAUCCAUAUAAACGCAACAUUGAGUAUAAAUAAUAAGAUUCGUAAACUCGACUCGACUUGACUUAAAAUUUUUUGACUAGAUUCGAUUUGAUUAGAAAAAAUUUAAAUUGAGUUCGGUUGUUAAAAUAGGAUCCGUUAACUCGAUUAACUCAAAAUUUGUUAGACUCAAUUUGAUUCGACUCGACUCAAUCGAAUGCUCACUCUUAACUUACACCAUCUUAUUAUUAUAUUUUUAUUUUCUUUAAAAAAAUAAGAUGGAAAUGGAAAUGAAUAUUGGCCACAAAUGGUUGCUAUAAAUCAGAGUGUGAGCCCUUAAUUAUCCGGAAACACAAACGAAAAUGGGCAAACCAUACGUUUUGGUAAUCCCUUAUCCAACACAAGGCCAUGUUAUUCCUCUCGUGGAACUCUCCCAAAACUUAGCCAAACAAGGCAUCAAAAUCAGCUUUGUUAACACAGUGUUUAAUCACAAGAGGGUCCUAGAUGCAUUCGGCGAGAAGGUGGAUGAAAAUGGCUUACUUCAUCUACUUUCAGUCCCCGAUGGACUGGAAGAUGGGAAAGAUAGGAAUCAGUUAGGGAAGUUAACUGAAAGAUUAUGCCAGGUUAUGCCUACUCAACUCAAAGAGCUCAUUCAUAAGGUUAAUGGAUCAGAUGAUGAUAAGAUUUCAUGUGUUUUAGCUGAUAUUAACAUUGGGUUGGCUCUUGAUGUUGCGGCGGAGUUGGGGAUUCCUACUGUGGGCUUGUGGCCGGGUGCAGUGUUUCAACUGGCGAUGUUGCUUAGUAUCCCCAAAUUUAUUGAUGAUGGACUGAUAGAUGAAAUUGGUAAGAACCUGUCUUGCUUUAACGACUUAGCAAUGCAGUACCUAUGAAUAAGAGAAAAUAUAAGUUUUUUUCUCGUCUGAGAUCUAAUUUGAUUCGACUUAGGCUAAUUUCUCGUAACUUUUGAAUUAAAAAGUGUUUAUUAUUAUUAUUAAAAAGUAUUUUUAAGAAAUAAUAUAUUUAUUUUAAACGGAAAUAAAAAUAUGCCUUUGAAAAUGCAAUAUAGAUUUUAAAUAUUUGUAAGCCAUUAAUAUUAAUUAUUUGUAAAAUUUAAUUUAAAUAUAUAAUUCAUAUUUUAAAUAUCAUUAAAAUAUAACUAUAAAAAAAUUAACUAAUAAUGGUAUAUAUUUAAAAUAAAUUUUAAUAGGAAAAUAAUUGUAUAUCCAAAAUAAUUAGUACAUAAAAGCACAUUAAAUUAUAAAUAAUGGUUAAAAAUGUGACUUGACUUUAAAAAUAUUUUUUGCAAGGAUUCAAAAGCAUUUUCUUACUUCUGAAACAGUCAGUUUAACAUUACUUAUAGUUUAAAAAACACUUUCAACAAUGUUAUCUUGUUUUGCAGGCACUCCACUCAUGAAACAUAAGAUGUUUCAGUUGUCACCAAAGACGCCUUCUAUACACCCAAUGAAUUUAGUAUGGCUUAACAUUGAUGACUCUCCUUCAACCCAAAAAAUCAUGUUUGAUUUUAUACUUAGGAACAUCAAAGUUGUUGAAACAACAGAUUGGGUACUUUGCAACUCAAGUUUGGAAUUAGAGUUUCAAGGGUUCAACUUAGUUCCCAAAGCCUCACCCAUAGGCCCAUUUUUAGCAAUCAAUCGGCUCGGAAACUUGUCGGGAAAUUUCUGGCCCGAGGAUUCAACUUGUUUGUAGUGGCUCGAUCAACAGUCACCUGGUUCAGUCAUAUAUGUCGCAUUUGGUAGUUUCACAGUUUUUGACCAAAUCCAGUUUCAAGAGUUAGCUUUGGGGCUUGAAAUCACCGAAAGACCAUUCAUUUGGGUUGUAAGAGAAGAUAUUACAAAAGGAAAACACCAUAACUACCCUAAAGGGUUUAAUGAAAGAGUUGGCAAUCGAUGUAGGAUAGUGAGUUGGGCACCACAAGCAGCAGUUUUGGGUCAUUCUUCCAUUGCAUGCUUUAUAAGUCAUUGUGGGUGGAAUUCCACCAUGGAAGGUGUAAGCAAUGGGGUGCCUUUCUUGUGUUGGCCUUACUUUGCUGAUCAGUUCCUGAAUGAAAGCUACAUUUCUGAUAUUUGGAAGACUGGAUUAAAACUCCAAAAGGAUGAAGGAGGUAUCAUUAGAAAAGAAGAAAUUAAAAGGAAGGUGGAACAAUUGGUUGGUGAUGAAAAUUUCAAAACAAGGGCUGUUGAACUGAAGCAAAUGGUUGAAAAAAGUGUCUGUGAUGGUGGAAGUUCUGAUAAGGUAUUCAAGAACUUUGUUCAAUGGUUGAAAUCAUAGAUCACUUCUUUGCAUUUCGUUUUCUUGUUGAGGUUGAUUUAAUGGUGGUGGUUGUAGUAUGUUAAUUUGAUUUCGUCCCUUCAAUUUAAGUUUCGAUUGAAAUAAUCAAUUUUAAUAAAUUAAAUCAAUCAAUUCUCCAAUCACCAUUUACUCAAUUUAUAAUAAAUUAGUUCCAAAUAUUACAUUGACUGUGAUUUUAAUUUAUUAAAUAUUAUGUUUACAAUUUAUAAAAAAAUAUUUUGAUUUAAUUUUUAAUAAAAAAUUGAUUAAUCUAAAAUAAUAAAACAACAUUUUAAAAAUAAUGAAAAAAUAAAAAAUAAUGAAUAGUGAAAUAUUAAAUAAAUAUAUAAACAUAAUUUAUCAUUUUAAUAUAAGUCAAAUAUUCAUCUACAAAUAAUCAUCACUUUAAUAUUUUAUUGCUUUUGACAUAUGAUUUCAAAACACAAUGAUAAAAUAUUUUCGCAAUUGUGUAAGUAUUAUUAAAAUCAAAUAAUAGUAUAGAGAAGGGAUUCACUUUUAAUAGUAUAAAAUGAAAAUAGUUUUACACGCUUUUUUAUUUCUUUGUACGAUCAAUAUUUUUAUAAUUCAAUUGUCGAAUUUAUUGAUGUAAUUGUACUUAUAAUUUUAUUUUAAUAAUAUAGAAUAAAUGAUAAAUUCAUAAUUUAAAAACAUUCAUUUUAAUCCAAGGAUUAAUAUUUUCAUUCUCAUUAUUUUUAUUAAAAAAUUCUCACAAUAAUUACUUCCUUUUAUAAUUAAAUUAAGUUAAAGAAAAAAAUAUAUUUUCAUCUUCUUCUCCUACAAAAACCCACAAAUUUCUUAUCCUAAAAUUCUUUCCUUUCCUUGAAAAAGUCCAUAAUCUCGAAAAGUCAUUUCUAACACUCAUGAGUUUAGAGUCCCUAAUGACACACUAUCAAAAUCUCAAAUACUCAUUUUUCUGAAUCCACCCCCUUUAUUUUACUAUUAGUUUUUAAUCCGAUGGUGCACGGGUUUACUUGUACUAUAUGUAUUAAUUAAAAUAUAUUAUAAAUUUAUAUAAAGUUAAUUUUAUAAUUGAUAUUAUAAAUAAAUUUAAAUUAUUUUAUAUAUUUUUGUAGUUAUCUAAAUGUUAUAUUUUCUUUUAUAAAUUGUAUAUAUUAAGUAAAUGAUUAUAUUAAUUUAAAAUGAGAGACUGGUAGGGCAAAAGGACCAUCAACAAUAAAACUAAAAAUAUUAUCAAAUCGAAAAUUAUUAGAAUAAAAGGAGCAACACAAUAAUUUUACAUAUAAUUGUCUAUAAUUUAAGUUGGUAAUUUUACUGGCAAAAUUGCCAUCAGCUAUUUGGUUAACAGUAUCAAAGAGAAUCAAAAUAAUGGUAAGACAACUUAAACAAUUAAAGGCAAAGUUUAUUAUUAUGAUUUUAUGCAUUUAAAAAAUUCUAAUUAUGUUUUUUUUUUUCCAUGAGUCAUCAAUAAGAUUAAAUAGUUUGAAGACCCAUAAAGAAGCAAUAACAUUAUUUUAAAUCAAUCAAAAUCGUAUGUGAGCGAGUAACAUGUAAAUUCUUAAAUAUAAUUGGUAUUAUUGUGUGUUUUUUUUCAUGUCCCUUUGAGAGGAAUAUUGGGAGUAUUUAUACAUACUCUUACUGUUACUAUUACAGCUUAUAACUGGGUGAAUCAUUUUGUCUCGGCCUUGGGGUUUCUGGUGCUAAUAUUCCCUGUGCACCCCCUAACUUGUUGGACGCGUGCCUGCGUAGCAUGCGGUCCUUUUUUAUCCUGGGCUAACAUCUUCAGCGAACUCUAUACCUAUUGGUCACGGGUCCGGAUUACUUGUAGGCUUCAUAAUCUUUCCUGCGAACACCGUUCGCGACCCAUCUUGCGAAGUGUGCCUACGAACUCUUUUUGCGAGCUGUCUUGGCAAAUACACCUCUUCCAAGUUGGGUCCAUCCAGGUCAAGGGUCGGAGACCCGAAUUCUUUUAGGACAUUUGGGUUGGCGAUUAUAUAUAUAUAACAUGUAUAAAAAAUAAAAAAUAUAGAGAAUAAUGAAAUAAAAAUUUAACAGAUAGGUAAUAUAGUUUGAUCGCAAGAAAUUAACUUUAUUUACCAAUUUAAAGACCUAAAAUAACCACAUAAAAAUUAAAGAAUGUGAAAAAUCUCCCAAAAACGACUCUCAAGAAAGACCUGUUUUCCAUAUAUAUAUAUCAUCUUAAUAAUAGAAGUAUAAAUUAAUGAUAUAAAAAAGUAGACAUUGAACUAACAAUUUGGUGGAAGAAACCGAAGAAAAGAAAAUGAGCACGUUAUAGUUGGCAGUAAACUUGUUAUCAAUGUAAUUUUCAAUUUGUAUUCAAGUGAAAUUAAAAAACGAAACUUAUAAAGAAAGAUAGUGUGGGGUGUGCCUUACAUUUAUCAGAUAUUUUACAGGUAACUUAGACGAAAAUCGACGAGCAAUUGAAAAAGGGCCAAAAUAAGCCCGACGUCGGGACAAGGAGAUCCUCGACGUUGGGACAAUGCGACGGUUUUUGGCAAUGGACAUGUCGACGACGUCAUGACGAGGAAAGCUGGCAUGUCAUGACAUCACGAUGAUUCCUAAUGUUAUACAACUACGUUUUGGACAGUUGAACAUGACUUCUUCUUCUAGUUGAGCUUUGAUUACUUCAAGGAUAUUUUAGUAUGAGUAAAACUCCAAUCUUAGUCUAUUUAAAGGGCCUUAAUAACCUUGAUAUCAAUCAGUGAGGGUUUUUCUUGAGGGCGACAAAAUAUAGUCAUAUAUGAGUUUUGAUGAGAAUUUUGUGGUAAUUAUGAAGAGAAUUUUGUUUUUGAGUUAUGACUUUAUUUUUGAGAUUUGAGAUUAUAUACUUAGUACAUUUAGGUUUAUUCUCUCCAUAUUGUUCUAUAUUUUUAUUAGCAAUAAGACAACUUAAAUAAUUAAAGGUGAAGUUUAUUAUUAUGAUUUUAUGCGUUUAAAAAAAAAAUCUAAAUAUGUUCUUCUUUCCAUGAAUCAUCGAUAAGAUUAACUAGUUUGAAAACCCAUACAGAAGCAAUAACAUUAUUUUAAAUCAAUCAAUAUCUUAUGUGAGCGAGAAAUAUGUAAAUUCUUAAAUAUAAUUGGUAUUGUUGACAUAUUUUUCUUCAUGUCUCAUUGAGAAGAAUAUUGGGGGUAUUUAUACAUACUCCUAUUGUUACUAUUGCAGCUCAUAAUUGGGCUCACCAUUCUGUCUCGGCCUUGGGGACUCUGAUGCUGAUAUUCCUUGCCUCUGGUGUUGACAUUCUCUUUAUGCCCCCUAGCUUGUUGGACACGUGUCUGCAUAGCAUGCGAUCCUUUCUGAUUUUAAGGCUGACAUCCUCAACGAGCUCCGUACUCGUUGGUCACGAGUCUAGAUUACUUGUAGGCCUUGUAAUCUUUCCUGGGAACAUUGUUCGUGACCCCAUCUUACGAAGUGUGCUCGGGAACUCUUCUUCCAGGCUGUCUUGGCGAGUACACCUCUUCUAAGUUGAGUCCAUCCAGGUCAAGGAUCGAAGACCUAAAUCCUUUUAGGACAUUUGAGUUGGCAAUUACAGAUAUAUAUAACAAGUAUAAUAAAUAAAAAAUAUAGAGAAUGAUGAAAUAAAAAUUUAACAGAUAGGUAAUGUAGUUUGAUCGCAAGAAAUUAACUUUAUUUACCAAUUUAAAGACCUAAAAUAACCACAUAAAAUAAUCAAAAAAUUAAAGAAUGUGAAAAGUCUCCCAAAAACAACUCUCAAGAAAGAACUGUUUUCCAUAUAUAUAUAUCAUCUUAAUAAUAGAAGUAUAAAUUAGUGAUAUAAAAUAUUAGACAUUGAACUAACAAUUCAAUAGAAGAAACCCAAGAAAAGAAAAAUGAGCACGUUAUAGUUGGAAAUAAACUUCUUGUCAAUGUAAUUUUCAAUGUGUAUUCCGGUGAAAUUAAAAAAAGAAACUCAUAAAGAAAGAUAAUGUAGAGUGUACUUUGCAUUUAUCGGACAUGUUAUAGGUAAUUUAGAUGAUAAUCUACGAGCAAUUUCUAUCUAUUUUUUACAUGUGGGCCAAUGAAUAAAUGCCCUAUGACAAGGUGGGACAAGUCUAAAUUGGUAAUUGAGUGAAAAGGAAAACUUGCAAAUAACUUUUCGUUUUCUUUUCGAGAGAUUUUUUUUUUUUUUGUGCAGAAACAGGUUUUGUCUUCUUCACUCGUUUUCAUUGGUACAAGUUAUGGGGAUUACAUACUUGCAAAGUAACCAAAUGAUUACAAGAGAGAAAAGAAAAUAUGAAUCCUAAGGCAAAAAAUAAAGCCACUUCUUAGAUGUUAUAAUAGCUUAAAUGGUUCAGGCAGAUAUUCGAAUCCAUUAUCAAAGAUGUAUCAUUGAUCUGACUUAUCAUGAAGAGAAUAAAAUCCCCUCUCAACAACAAGCUUGGAGAGAAUGAGUAUAUAUUGAUGAAAUCAAGAGAGAAAAGGAAAAAAUAGGUCUUUUUUUUUUUAAAUUUUUAGUUUUGAUUUAGAGAAUGUCGACAGGUAAAAUUUUAUGCAAGCCCUUCAAUUUUGAUUGUUUAGUUUUUUUCUUUAGCCUACAGUGCCACAUGGCAUCCAUUUGUUGGCCCACAUGUAAAAAAUGGAUAGAAAUUAACCUUGUUAGCAUGAGGUACCAAAAGGUUAGACAGAGAAAAGAUUGAGGUGCCGAAUCAGACAAAUUAAAAGUAUAAGUACCACAUUAAAAUUUUUGUUAAAAUAUAGGGAGAUUUUUGUCAUUAUCCCAAUAUCUGAGUUAGCAAAAAUCAAAUUUUGAAAAUUUCAACCAUAUCUCAAAUAUUUGAAUCCACAAAAAUCUAAAUUUGCUAAAAUUCUUUUUUUAAUAUAUAUAUAUAUAAAAUAAAACAAAAUUAAUUUUAAAUAACAUCUACCCGUAAUUAAAAACAGUAAUUUUAAACCCGGUAAAAUAUUCCCAAGGUCAUAAAACUAUUAGUAAGUUUAUGUUUUGGUUACUUAACUUUAAAAAGUUAUAAAAUAAUCACUGAACUAUUUGAAAGUUUUCAUUUAAGUCGUUGAAUUAUUUUAAAGUUUUUAUUUAAGUCAUUGGGUUGUUAAUUUUUUUUAAACUCCGGCUAGUGAGUUCCAAGUAACAAUUCAACGAUCUGUACGGUGGAUUGAUACUUAUUAACAAAUUGAAAAACAUACUUUAGAUCCAAGUUGAUCUGAUGGUUAGUGUUAGAGAUUAGAUAAUAAAAUUAUUUAGAUUUUGGUUUGCAAAUUCAUGACAUUUAAAGUUGUUUAAUGAAAGAAAAUUAAAUCGCAAAAGAGAAGGAGAAAGGAUGCUUUUGAUUGUGUAGACGGUAUAAACGAAAAUUCAUAACCAUUACAAACAGCUUAAACAAUAUAAAGACAAUUUUGUAGCAUAAAAGCAAUUACGAAAAAUCAAAUUUAUUUCUUUGAAAAUUUGAUUUAGGUACUACGUAAAAAAAAUCACUUUAAAUUAAGGUAUAAAGGGAUGGCUUUUACUUUUUAAAAAUAAAAAAAAAAUUAAUGCCAUUUACGAAUCAAACAUAUUAAUAUCAGAUAUCAUUUCAUUCGAGAAUUAGUUGAGAAUAGUCUAUUGAAUUGAAAUAUGUGCCUACUCAAAGUUAGCUAAUUGAUUUGUUCCCCAAAACCUUAGACUCAAACAAAUUUGAGAGCUUGAAAAGCUUAAUUGGAGUAUGCCGAGCUUAAAGUGUUAACUAUGUUUUGGACGACAUCUACAUGACUUAGCUUGAUCUAACUAAAUUACAUAAUGUAUAAAUAUUGAUAGUUAAUUUUUUAGAUUAAAGAUUAAAUUAAAACAAUGUAGAAAUAUUGAAGUUAAAGUUGUUGUUGUGCUAAAUUUAAAAGUUGUUAGGUCAUUUUUUUCCCGUUAACCAUUUAAUAGUUAGUGGUCAAACAAUAAUUUUAUAAUUUUUUAUAAUUAGAUAACCAAAAAUAAAAUUUGCUAAUAAUUAAAUAAUUACUAAUUUAGUUUACCAACGUAAAUAAAGUGGAUGACAAGUUGGGAGGGUCCAUGGCUUUAUACUCCAAGAGUGCGUCCAAAAUAUUCAUUAAUUUGCUCUGCAGGAAGUUGUUCCCUUCCCUGGUUCCCAAACUAGCCAUUUAUUAUUAUUAUUAUUAUUUGAAAUAAAUUAACUGAAUUUUAUUUUUAACCUCUAAAAGAUAAAGCCCAACAAAACAUAAAAUCCAAUACAAAUAAAAUAAAAUAGGCCUAUUUAAGAGAUUAAAUUACCAAUAAAUGUAAAAAAUGCUUUUAGGUGGAAGUAUUUUCUGCUGUAUUAACAUUAAAAAUAGUAACACCAAUAAAUUUUUUUAUUUUACCUAUUAAUCUAAAAAUAAAACUUACAGAACAAAUAUUUAUAUAGACUCUAAAUCUCAUUUUUCUUAUUUUUUUAAAUGAUGUCGGAUGUAGGAUAUAUGUAUAUAUAGACUCAUAAUUUAUUUACAGUUUGUUAUUAAACAAUGCGAUAAUUCUUCCAUUAAUUAUCACACCUUUCAAUCUUUCAAAAAAACUUUUCAUCUUCCCGAUCCUCUUUUAUUUUUUCCAUUCUUCAACUUUCCAGAAUGUAAAUCAACACCACACAUAUUAAACUUGCACACUGCUUUGUCAAUCUCUUUGCACUAGCUCCUCGACGUAAUCAGGGCCCCUUUGUUCAUAUCUCUUUGUUCCCUAUUUCCUAGGCCUUUUGUAGCCAACUUCGUUCUUCAUUCAUUGGCCAUGUUUGAAAUUGCAAAUUUGGAAUCCCUUACUCAGCCAUUGACAAUCUUUAAUGAGAGCACAAAUCUCCGAUAUAUCAUCCCCUUUUUUUUGUAGCUUUUUUAUAAUUGAUAAAACAUCUCCUUCUACCUCUGCAAUCAUGACUCCCAAAUCUAACCCUAAUUGAAGCCCUUGGACACAUGCAAGGGUCUCUGCUGCAAAAAUUGAAGGUACCCUCUCGUUUAGAACAAUCCUCGACGCCAAAACCUUUCCCUCUGAGUACCUAAUGACAAUCUUAAAGGAUGAUCUGUUUGGGCAAAUUUUUGGUGAAAGUAUUAGAAUGUAAUUUAUUAGAAAUUAAAUUAUAUUUUGUUUAUAUGCUAAAAAAAAGUAAAUUAGUCUCUUAAAUUAAUCUUUUCUAUUAAAAAUUUUAUUAAUUUAUUGAUUGAGUCUUAAUCCAAUUGAUAUUAAUAUUGUUGCCAAUAGAGUGACUAAAGCUUAUUAUCUUUUUAUUAAAAUAUUAGGAGGGACUGUUAGGUAAUUUUUUUUUGUUUGAAGUGGGUACCACAAGGUUGAAUAAUUUUCUUUGUCGGUUAGUUAAUUUUUUACGCACAACUUUUGUAUGCUGUGAUAGAAAUCAAAUUUGAGUACUAUACUUCUAUUAAUUUAAUUGUUGGCAGGGUUGGACAUUCCUUGGCACUCUUAAAAGUUUUGAGAAAUUAUUAUUUAUUUUUUAAAAUUUUAUUUAUCUUUUAAAAUUUUGAGAAAUUAUUAUUUAUCUUUUAAAGUAAAGAAAAAAGUAAGCUCCUCAAAAUUCUUUAAAAAAAUUCUCAUUAUAUAUAUUUUGAAAUUGUAAUUAAAAAAUUCACUUAAAAUAUUUAAAAAUUCUCAUUAAUUUCACAAAAAAUUUAAAAUUUUUAAUUAGACUCUUAAUUUUUUUAAAAUCUCAUUAAAAUUUUUGAAAUUUUUAAUAGCCUUAAAACUUAGCCCAAAAAUCUGCCACUGACAAUUGGUAAGUUUUUUUUUUGGCACUUAACUAUGAAUGAAAAGUUACAAAAUUAUCACUUAACUAUUCAAAUUUUUCCUUUUUGGUCACCAGUCGUAAAUGACUAAUAGAAAAUUAACGUGAUAGCUUUUAAAAUUGACAUAAUAAUAAUUUUAACCUUCAACAUUUAUAGCUCGUGUCAAAUUAGUCUUAAUUCUAAAAAAGAUUAACCCUCAAAAUUUACACAUUGUGUAAUUUGAUCUCUCCUUUUAUUUUUUUAUUUUUUUAUUUUUACCUUUUUUUUUGUUGCCCUUCCACCUAAAGAGCUAAAGGAAAAAAUUAAUCUAUCAAGUAAAUUUGAUAGGAAAUAUAUAAAAAAGGAAACAUUUGAAAUUUCAAGAUAAUCAUUUUUAAUUUUUCUUGUUCUUUUAAAAUUAACCCUCAACAUUACAAAUAAAAAGUAAAAUUGGAAAAAAAAUGCUAAUUUAUACAAUGUGCAAAUGUUGAGGGUUAAUUUUUUUUUUGGAAUCAAGGCUAAAUUAACACAAUGUGUAAAUGUUGAAGUUUAAUGUUACUAUUAUACCAAUUUUAAAAAUUGCUAAGUUAUCUUUCGGCUAGUAAUUUAAUGGCCGGUGAUUAUAAAAGAAAAUUUCAAAUAAUUAAGUGUCCAAAAAAGAAAAAAAAUGAAUAAUUGAGUAAUUAUUUUGUAACUUUUCAUAAUUGAUUAAAAUAAAAAACACUAAUAAUUAGAUGACUAUAAUUAUAAUUAUAAUUAUAAUAAAGUAAAAGUAUUAAUAAUUCAUAUUAUGUUAUCAUGCUUAUAGUAUUUAUAUGCAUAUAAUUAAUUAUAAGUAAUAAAUAUAAUGUAAUUUUAAUUCUUCGUAAUAUAAUAUAUCAUUAUAUUAUAAUAUAAGAAAGCAAAUCAUGUGUCAGGUAGUUUCAUAUUAACAAUUCAUGUUAUAUUAAUCAUGCUUAUAAUAUAUGUUACAUAUAUAAAUAAUACGAAGAUUUAUUAAUUUUUAUAAUAUAAUAUAAUAUAUGUUAAAUAUAUGUAUGCCACGUUAUAUGAGUAAGGCUUAAUGAUAAAUUUGGUCACUAAUGUUUACAUGUUUUGUCAAAAUAAUUCUUAUUGUAUUUUUAUGUUUUUUUUCAUCAACUUUUUAUCUUUUUUCAAACUGCAUUUUUACCAUAUUUAAUUAAUAAAUUCACGAGAUUUAAUGAAUAAAUAUAAGGUUUCAAUAUUUUAUAUGUUUGUUUAUUGAGAAAAUUUUCUACUUGAGUUAAAUUUUUUUUAGGUAACUAUGUUAUUUUCUUUAAAUUAAGAGUUGUUUUUUAAUUUAAUGUAUUAUUUACUUAUUUUAUUAUUUUUCACAUGCAAAUCUAAGUAAUAAAUUAAAUUUCAUUAAAAAUGUUACACAUAUGAAAUUUCACAUCAUUCCCAUUAAUUUUUUUAACUGACUUUCAUUAAAACUGUUAGAAAAACAGAAAAUAAAAAAAAACAAAGAUAGAUGACCAAAAAAUAAAAAAAUACAAUUAAAAUUAUUUUGAGAAACAUAUAAAUAAUAAUAGCUAUGAGUACUAAGUAAAAAAAAACAGUGUGAUCGUAAGCUUGAUUUUGUUGUAGUGGGAGAAUGAAAAAUCUAACAGAAGAUACACCAUAAUUAAAUUACGUACACCACGUUAUUAUUAUAUUUUUAUUUUCUUUAAAAGAUAGGAUGGCAUUGGAAACGUUUAUGGCCUCAAAUGGUUGCUAUAAAUCAGAGUGUGAGCCCUCAAUUCUCCAGAAACACAAACGGAAAUGGGGAAACCACACGUUUUGGUAAUCCCUUAUCCAGCACAAGGCCAUGUUAUUCCUCUCAUGGAACUCUCCCAAAACUUAGCCGAACAAGGCAUCAAAAUCAUCUUUGUUAACACAGAGUUUAAUCACAAGAGGGUCCUGGAUGCAUUCGGCGAGAAGGUGAAUGAAAAUGGCUUACUUCAUCUACUUUCAGUCCCCGAUGGACUGGAAGAUGGGGAAGAUAGGAAUCAGUUAGGGAAGUUAACUGAAAGAUUAUGCCAGGUUAUACCUACUCAAAUCAAGGAGCUCAUUCAUAAGGUUAAUGAAUCAGAUGAUGAUAAGAUUUCAUGUGUUUUAGCUGAUAUUACCAUGGGGUUGGCUCUUGAUGUUGCGGCGGAGUUGGGGAUUCCUACGGUGGGCUUGUGGCCGGCUGCGGUGUUUCAACUGGCGAUGUUGCUUAGUAUCCCCAAAUUUAUUGAUGAUGGACUGAUAGAUGAAAUUGGUAAGACACUGUCUUGCUUUAACUACUUAGUAGUGCAGUACCUAUGAAUAAGAGAAAAUAUAAGUUUUUUUUCUCGUCUGAGAUCUAAUUUGAUUCGACUUAGGCUAAUUUCUCGUAACUUUUGAAUUAAAAAUAUUUUUAAACCUUUAAUUUAAGUGUUUAUUAUUAUUAUUAAAAAAUAUUUUUAAGAAAUAAUAUAUUUAUUUUAAACAUGAUGUUGUGAAAUAAAAAUAUGCAUUUGAAUGCUAUUCAAACUCGUUAUUAUUAUGAUAUUAAAAUAAAAAUAAUUUUUUUUUAUGAUAACUCAUUAUUAAUAUUUUAAUAUAUGCAAUAUAGAUUUUAAAUAUUUAUAAGCAAUUAAUAUUAAUUAUUUGUAAGAUUUAAUUUAAAUAUAUAAUUUAUAUUUUAAAUAUCAUUAAAAUAUAACUAUAAAAAAAUUAACUAUAUAAUGGUAUAUAUUUAAAAUAAAUUUUAAUAAGAAAAUAAUUGUAUAUACAAUAUAAUUAGGUCAUAAAAGCACAAUAAAUUAUAAAUAAUGGUUAAAAAUGUUUUUUUUGCAAGGAUUCAAAAGCAUUUUCUUACUUCUGAAACAGUCAGUUUAACAUUACUUAUAGUUUAAAAAAGACUUUCAACAAUGUUAUCUUGUUUUGCAGGCACUCCACUCAUGAAACAUAAGAUGUUUCAGUUGUCACCAAAGACGCCUUCUAUACACCCAAUGAAUUUAGUAUGGCUUAACAUUGAUGACUCUCCUUCAACCCAAAAAAUCAUGUUUGAUUUUAUACUUAGGAACAUCAAAGUUGUUGAAACAACAGAUUGGGUACUUUGCAACUCAAGUUUGGAAUUAGAGUUUCACGGGUUCAACUUAGUUCCCAAAGCCUCACCCAUAGGCCCAUUUUUAGCAACCAAUCGGCUCGGAAACUUGUCGGGAAAUUUCUGGCCCGAGGAUUCAACUUGUUUGCAGUGGCUCGAUCAACAGUCACCUGGUUCAGUCAUAUAUGUCGCAUUUGGUAGUUUCACAAUUUUUGACCAAAUCCAGUUUCAAGAAUUAGCUUUGGGGCUUGAAAUCACCGAAAGACCAUUCCUUUGGGUUGUAAGAGAAGAUAUUACAAAAGGAAAACACCAUAACUACCCUAAAGGGUUUAAUGAAAGAGUUGGCAAUCGAUGUAGGAUAGUGAGUUGGGCACCACAAGCAGCAGUUUUGGGUCAUUCUUCCAUUGCAUGCUUUAUAAGUCAUUGUGGGUGGAAUUCCACCAUGGAAGGUGUAAGCAAUGGGGUGCCUUUCUUGUGUUGGCCUUACUUUGCUGAUCAGUUCCUGAAUGAAAGCUACAUUUCUGAUAUCUGGAAGAUUGGAUUAAAACUCCCAAAGGAUGAAGGAGGUAUCAUUAGAAAAGAAGAAAUUAAAAGCAAAGUGGAACAGUUGGUUGGUGAUGAAAAUUGCAAAACAAGAGCUAUUGAACUGAAGCAAAUGGUUACCAAAAGUGUCGGUGAUGGUGGAAGUUCUGAUAAGGUAUUCAAGAACUUUGUUCAAUGGUUGAAAUCAUAGAUCACUUCUUUGCAUUUUGUUUUCUUGUUGAAGUUGAUUUAAUAGUGGUUGUUUUAGUAUGUUAAUUUGAUUUCGACGCUUUAAUAUAAGUUUCGAUUAAAAUAAUGAAUUUUAAAAAAUUAAAUCAAUCAAUUCUCUACUCACCAUUUACUCAAUUUAUAAUAAAUUAAUUUUAAAUAUUACGAUGACUGUGAUCUUAUAUGUUUAUUUUUUAAUUUAUUAAAUAUUAUGUUUACAAUUUAUAAAAAUAUGUUCCCAGAUUAAAUGAUGAUUGAUUUAAUUUAUAAUAAAAAUCGAUUAAUCUAAAACAAUAAAAUAACAUUUUAAAUAUAAUGAAAAGAAUAAAAAAAAGGGAUAGUGAAAUAUUAAAUAAAUAAAUAAAAGUAAUUCAUCAUAAUUAGUCAAAUUUUCAUCUACAAAUAAUCAUCACUUUAAUAUUUCAUUGCUUUUGACGUAUAAUUUCAAAACACAAUGAUAAGAUAUAUUCGCAAUUGUGUGAGUAUUAUUAAAAUCAAAUAAUAAUAAAUAGGAGGGAUUUACUUUUACUAAUGUAAAAUGAAAGUAGUUUUACUUGCGACCUCUUAUCAUAAUGAGAAUGUAUAUAGUCCUAUUCCGGUUUGGUCCAGUAUGGAAUGAACUUAUAAUCAUGGAAUUGACUCAAUCAUGAGAUUAUAGAUUGUAAGUUCAUAACGCUAACCCAUUCUCAUUUUGGGCGAAACAGAUCUACUAAUUUUUUUAUUCCGGUUAGUAAAGAGGAACAUUGAAUUAAAAAAUAGAUUCUAGAAGGUAAACUAAAAAAGGAUAUCUUGAGCAAUUAUAAUAAUCGGGUUCAUUAAUAUUCCUGGUAUAGUAGAUGCUCUUAUUUCUUUGUACGAUUAAUAUUUUUAUAAUUCAAUUGUCGAAUAUCUCGAUAUAAUUUUACUUAUCAUUUUGUUUUAAUGAGAUAGAAUAAAUGAUAAAUUUAUAAUUUAAAAACAUUCAUUUUAAUCUAAGGACACGCUAUCAAAAUCUCAAAUAUUCAUUUUUUUGAAUCCACCCCCUUUAUUUUACUACUAAUAUUUAAUUCGACGGUCUACGAGUUUAGUUGUAUUAUUUGUAUUAAUUAAAAUAUGUUACAAUUUUAUAAAAAAAUAAUUUUAUAAUUGAUAUUAUAAAUAAAAUAAAAUUAUUUUAUAUAUUUUUGUAGUUAUCAAAAUGUUAUAUUUUCUUUUAUAAAUUGCAUAUAUUAAGUAAAUGAUUAUAUAAAUUUAAAAUGAGAGACUGGUAGGGCAAAAUGACCAUCAACAAUAAAACUAAAAAUAUUAUCAAAUCGAAAAUUAUUAGAAUAAAAAGAGUAACACAACAAUUUUACAUAUAAUUGUCUAUAAUUUAAGUUGGUAAUUUUACAGGCAAAAUUGUCAUCAGCUAUUUGGUUAACAGUAUCAAAGAGAAUCAAAAUAAUGGUACUCCCCUUCAUGCCUCCGUAAAUUAACAAUAAGACAACUUAAAUAAUUGAAGGUGAAGUUUAUUAUUAUGAUUUUAUGCAUUUAAAAAAUUCUAAAUAUGUUCUUCUUCCCAUGAAUCAUCGAUAAGGUUAACUAGUUUGAAAGUCCAUAAAGUAAUAGCAUUAUUUUAAAUCAAUCAAUAUCUUAUCUGAGCGUAAAUUCUUAAAUAUAAUUGUUAUUGUUAAUGUGUUUUUUUUCAUGUCUUAUUGGGGGUAUUUAUACAUACUCUUAUUGUUAUUAUUACAGCUUAUAAUUGGGUUCACCAUUUUGUCUCGGCCUUGGGGCCUCUAGUGCUAAUAUUCCUUGCCCCUAGUGUUGACAUUCUCUGUGUGCCCCCUAGCUUGUUGGGCCCGUGUCUGCGUAGCAUGCAAUCCUUUCUGAUUUUAAGGCUGACAUCCUCAACGAGCUCCGUAUCCAUUGGUCAAGAGUCCGAAUUACUUGUAAGCCUCGCAAUCUUUCCUGCGAACACCGUUCGCACCCCAUCUUACGAAGUGUACCAGUGAACUCUUCUUACAGGAUGUCUUGGUAAGUACACCUCUUCUGAGUUGAGUCCAUCCGAGUCAAGGAUCGAGGACCCGAAUCCUUUUAAGAUGUUUGAGUUGGCGAUUAAGAUACAUAUAACUAAAGGUGAGCAUGGGUCAGGCCCGACUAAAAAUUUAGGCCCAUGUGCUAGGCCCAGACUGGGUCCAGCCUGAAAAAUGGGUCUAAAAUUUUGCCCAAGCUCGACCCGGAUGAAAAUGCUAAAACCUAAGCCCGACUCGGCCCUCUCAUAUUAAUUUUUAUAUUAUUUUUAUUUAAUUUUAAAAUAUAUAUAAUACAUUAAAAAUUCUAAAAACAUCAAAAUAAAUAUUUCUCAACAAAUUAAAAAUAAUUUUUUAAAAAUAUGUAUACUUUUUUUUAAUCAAAAUCAGAUUAGGCUUCAAAAUAGAUUAAAAAAAAUUACAGAACUCAACUAAACUUAAAGGAAGGUCCAAUAACAGAUUUGCCCCAUGAAAAACAAAACUAUUUUGGAAAUAAACUAAAAUAAGUCAUAAAAAACGGUAACAGAAAACAAAUCGACUGAUAAAAGAAAAAUCUAAAUAAAUCAUUAAAGCCACCACCUACUUGCCCAAUCAGAUGUUCUGACGUCUGACUUCCAUCCCAUCUGUCAUUUCUACCUUUAAUGGCGACGUCAGUUCCCAAGGGGAUUUUAUCACAAAGACUAAUUGAUCUAUUUUGUUUUGAGACUCUUCCCCUUUCUUCCCUCUCUUCACUUCUUCAAUUCGGUUUUUUUUCCCUCUCCCUUCUUAUCAGGCCGUCUGCAUAACUUGGUAAGCUAUUAAUCAGAUACAUCUCUUCUUUCUUCUUCAAAGAUUCUUUUGCGAAGAUAUGGGCUAGACCAUUUGCUGAUCUCGGAAUAUAAUCAAAACUCAACUUGCAGGCUCUGGACUUCAUCUCCUGAAUAUCGUGAAUAUAAACCCCUAUUUGCGAUCUAUCUUGCUUUUUUUCCUUGCACCUUUUUAUUACUGAUAAUGAAUCACAUUCGAUAAUGACUUCUAAACUUUGCAUUUCAAGGCCAAUCUGGGUAGCCCUUCGACAAGCCAAAGCUUCCGCUGCAAAAGGAGAAAACACUCCUCUAUGAAGUUCUGAGCAAGAGAUGAGAACGAGGCCCUUUCUAUCUCUGACCAUAAUUCUUGACGCCGAUUGAUGGUUCCUCUCGUCAAAAGCCCCGUCAAAAUUAAUUUUUACAGCCUGCCCCGAUGGAUGAGUCCACUUCCUUUCAACCUUAGGAGAAAUAUGGGUACUUCUACCAGCCCCCUCAAGUUCUUGUAAAUAACUAAGAACAUAUUUUGCUAUCUCCUGACCUGAUCUGUUUGUGUUUUCAUGUAUCCGAGCGUUUCGAUCUCCCCAAAUGGCCCAAAGCACACUACAGAAAAUUCUGCACUGAUCAUGAGAGAGAGAGAGACUAACACUUGGGUAAGCCACUGCUCAAACUCUAAGUGUUUCCACUGACUAAAAUUAAUUACAGAUAUUACUUCCCACACAGCCACUGACACAUUGCAUUUGCGAAACAGGUGAUCCAUUGUUUCUGAUUCCACACCACACUGAGAGCAUAUUGUGUUGUUUACUAGUUUCCUAAUUUGCAUGUUUACCCGAGUAGGCAGAUAGUUCCAGGCAAUUUUCCAGAUUGUAAUUUUGAUUUUAAUAGGUAGAUCUAGGCACCAAAGUUUUUUGUAAAAAUCUCUAUAGACGUUCUGUUCGGCAUAAGCUCUAGGAUCCCCACUUUGUAAUAAUUUGUAGGCACUCCGAACUGUAUACUCUCCUGAAGGUUCUCCUGUCCAAGCCAGCAAAUCACUAUGAGGUUUCAUCACCAGAGGGAUGCGAAGGAUCAGCUCAGCUACCUCUUCUGGGAAGGUAUUGGCUAUCAGAUCUCUAUUCCAGUUUCUUUCAUUAUUGUUUAUUAGCUCAGCAACUGAGUCAACACGCAAAUCAACAUUAACAUUCGAUAACCUUAAACUCCUAAAAUCUGCAAUCCAAAUAUCAUUUCUAAUUGAAAUAUUUGUGCCCGUACCAACCUUCCAUAUUAGGCCUUUCUCCAAUAGGCCCUUUGCCGCCCAUAUACUGCGCCAUACAUACGAACUAUGAUUCCCCAACCUCGAGUUAAUAAAAUUGGUUUUUGAAAAAUACUUCGCUUUCAAAACUUGUGCAACUAAUGAAUUUGGAUUCACUACAAGUCUCCAUCCUUGUUUGGCCAAAAGAGCUAUGUUGAAUUGUGCCAUAUUUCUAAACCCCAAUCCUCAAGUUUUGGGUUGACAAAUGUUUCCACUGACACCAAUGGAUUCCUCUCUUUCCAAACCCUUUUUGCCACCAAAACUUAGCGAAAAUGCUUUCAAAACUCCCACAAAGUAUUUGGUAGGAGAAAACAGGACAUAGCAUAAGUUGGUACGAGAAAAUAGGACAUAGCAUAUGUUGGUACAGCCUGUAAGACUGAUUUGAUAAAAACCUCCUUGCCCCCCUAGGAUAAUAAUCUGGUGCUCCACCCUUCCAAGCGCACAGAUACUUUGUCCAAUAAAUUAUGGAACGACUCUUUUUCCUUCUGCCAGCCACAUUUGGAAGUCCCAAAUACUUCUCUGGAUUUGUUGAGAUCCUGACCCCUAAUAUUGAGGACACUUCAUUUUUCUGCCAUCUGAGGUAUUCGAGCUGUAAAAAAUUGUUGAUUUACUAAAAUUUACACAUUGACCCUAACAGCUUUCAUAUUCCUUGAGUAUAUCCUUCAGAAUUAUUGCCUCCAUUUCUGUUGCUUCACCAAACAUCAUGCAAUCAUCUGCAAAUAAUAAAUGGGUUAGUUUUGACCCUCUCCUACUGGCUUUGACACCGUUCAACCGCCCCUCAUUCUUUGCGAUUCUCAACGACGAUAACAGACCCUCACUACAAAUAAAAAAGAGAAACGGACUCAAUGGGUCGACUUGUCGUAACCCUCUAGUUGGUUGAAAAAAUGUACCACUCUUACCAUUAAUAUUGAUUGCGUAUGAGACUGUUGUAAUGCAUCUCAUUAUGAGUUUGACCCAUUCGUUUGUAAACCCCAUUCUUAGCAUCACUUGUUUUAUAAAAUUUGACUCAACUCGGUCAUAUACAGUACUCAUGUCCAGCUUUAUUGCCAUAAGCCCUUUUUUUCCCGGUACGCUUUUUCCUAAAAGUGUGAAGAAUUUCAUAGGCUAAAAUUACAUUGUCUGAAAGGAGUCGCCAGGAACAAAAGCACUCUGUACUUUGUCAACACAUUUACCAAUGACCUCUUGCAAACGAUUUGCUAAAGUUUUUGCCACGAUUUUGUAUAUAACUGUGCAUAGACUAAUGGGCCUAAAUUUUGCAAGUUUUGUAGGUUUAAGAAGUUUUGGGAUGAGCACAAUGUCUUUGUAAUUCAGUGACGCCACCUCUUUGUUAUUAUUCAAAAUCCCCAAACAUAAAUCAAGAACAUCAUUACCUACAAUAUGCCAAUACUUUUGAAAAAACAUUGCAGGAAACUCAUAUGGUCUCGGUGCUUUGAUGCGCCCAAUCCCUUUUAACGCCAUCCAAAUCUCUUCUUCCUUAAAAGGAGACAUUAAAAACUCAUUCUCCUCGUGAGAGAUGUUACCAUCAAUGCCUGAUAGCAGAUGACUUAGAUCACCACUUUUCGUUUUUGUGAAGAGCUCUUGAAAAAACCAAGUGGCAUUCUCAUUAAUCUCUAACUCAUUCGUAAUUACCCUCUAGUCUUCCAAGACUAAUUUAGCGAUUGUGUUAGCUCUCCUGCGGUCUGACGCACUUUUAUGAAAAUAGGCCGUAUUUCUAUCCCCAAAUUAGAGCCAAUUCGCUCUGGCUCGUUGCUCCCAAUAUAGUUCAUCUUUAUCGAUCUCCUAAUUAAGGUGGAUUUUUGAGUCGAUAAUCCGUGCUAGCGUUUCGUCAUCCCUUUCUUUCUCUGCCAGACUUUCAAGCUCUUUGGUUAACUUUCUUUUCAAUCUCUCUUUUUCUUCUAAUAGUGCUUGCCCAUCUUUCUAAUCGAGCUUGUAAUUUUCCUAGUUUCUCAGAUAACGAACCUUUAGUAAACUCCCAAACUUCUUUGAUUACAGUUUUGAUAGACUCCUCCAUGGUCCACUAGGCCUCAAAAUGAAAUCUUUGACCCCUUAUUGCAGUAUUGUCAUAUCCUAUAUUUAGGAGAAUGGAACAGUGAUCUAAUGUUGAAAAAGGAAGAUGUUGAAUACCGCUCAUCGGGAAUAAAGUUAACCACUUUUCAUUUGCGACCCCUCUAUCCAACUUUUCCCUUAUAUUUGUUUCUGGCAAAUUGCCUCUCUCCCAAGUAAACCAAACCCCCGUGUAACUAAUAUCCAUUAAUUGACAUUCCUUCAGAACCUCCCUAAAAAUCUCCAUCCACCGAAGAUUUUGUUCAACUCCCCCAGAUUUCUCAAAUGAAUACAUAAUUUCGUUGAAAUCUCCAGCAACAAGCCAAGGGUGAUUAUGGUAUGGACCUAAUCUUCUGAGCAAAUUCCAUACAUAAUUCUUGUUUUGUAGAUAUGGUAAACCAUAAAACCCCGUAAAUCGCCACUCUUCUUUUCUACCUUCCCCCUGAAUCAGAACAUCAAUAUGCCACUUAGAAAAGCUUUGCAUAUUCGCUUUGACAUUACUUUUUCAUGCUAAACACAAUCCUCCACGAGUACCUUCUACUUCUACUCCGAUUCCACUAAAAAAUCCACAACUCCUCCUAACCUUCUCCAUACGUUUUUUUAUCUAAUUUCAUCUCCAUUAAGAAGACCAUAUGGGGAUUAUGCUGCUUAAGUAAAUGUCGCAGUUUUCGUACCGCUCGUGGACUCCCCAAUCCAGGGACUUUCCAGCAUAAGUUUUUCAUUGUGACCAGUCGGCCGUCCUGUUGAUAGUCGCCGAUCUUAUUUUGCUUGGCAUCACAUUUUGUACUGAAACAGUCGUCAUUUUACUACUUUGAACCUCUUAUUGAACGACUAACUAUUCCACUUUCAACCGCUUUGUUCCAUCACCAUCUGACCCAUCUGCGUCGUUUUUGCCAUCAGCCAAUUCUAGAAAUUUCCUCUUCCCUCCCAAUCAGUCACACCUCUGAAUUUUAGACUGAUUUGCUGGAAUUAAUCUUUUCCAACUAGACUUCUUGGGUAUUGUUGGGGAUCUGCCCAUCUUCAUAUUACUAUCAUUCACCACAUCAAUCUCCAGGUUAUUGCAACCCAAUUCCUAUUCCUGAAAACCUUUCAACCAGCUUGCCAAUUUCUUUCCGCCUAUUGCCUCUCCUUGCGUAACUAGAAAAUCUGCAUCCAUAUCAGUAUCAGUCGUUCUUUGUCCCAGUAAACCUAUGUAAGAAGCUUGAUUAUUCACCUUCUUUGCAAAACCAUUUAAUUUUAUACUCUCCUACCCUGCCAAAUUUGAUUCAGCUUUCAAUGCUACAGAAUAUGGUGGAUUGUUACUGACUUUACUUUUCUCUGCAAGACUUAACAUCAAGCAUUUAUUGAGAUUAUGCCCCAUUCUACCACACCCAAAGCAAUAAAUUGGUAAUUUCUCACACUUAAAAGGAAACCCACGAUUUUACCCCAUUAUCACUUAAAACAAAAACCCUUCUCUUGAGAGGUUUCUGCAUAUCAAGGUUAACUCUAAGUCUACAAAUAUCUCCAUUAAUUUCAGGCCUCAGAAUACCCUAAAAAGUAUUGCCUAUAGCAUGUAUUAAAUCCUUUCUAUCACAAUUUGGUUACGCACCAAUUUUAAUCCGAAACGGUGAAUGAAUAAGACAAAUCUGAUCUCUCGCAAUCGAUUUGGUCAGCCGAUCAAAUAAAGUAAUAUUCUUGCGAAAUAACCAAGGUUUUCCUUCCAAGAUCGACUCCAAAUCUUUUUCAUGAUAAAAAACAAUUGAGAACAGAUUUUGCCCUAUUAAUUGAAUCUCAAACUUUUUCUUUGUUUUCCAUAUGCUUUUUAUCUGUGCCCUAAAACUUUCUGGAUUAAAAGAUUUUUUUGUUCAGUCGAAGCAGAUCAAAGUCGGUUUAUCGUUUGGCGUCACCCUUGAACUCUUUACUGAUAAUUGGAUGAGUUCUUCUGCAAGCAAGGAUAUCUCCUCAUUGCUUUCCCUCUUGUCUCCACCACCCUCUUCUGUCCCUAGCUGCGGCAGUUACCACUCUCUCUAGGACACUAUGGGGAGCACUCUUGGCAAAAAUAUGUAUACUUAAAUAACACUAAGAUAGUUAUAACUUAACAAGCAAAUGUUUCUAAAAUAAAAAUAAAUUUAAUAAUAAAAUAAGUUUUAUAUAAUAUCCAAACAAUAACAAUAAAAUAGUAGCAACAUAAUAGUAAAAUGGUAGCAAAAUAGGGAGAAAAUAAGAAAAAAAUAAUUUAAAAAAUAAAAAAUUUAUGUUCUUCAGUGAAUUCGGGUCGGACCCAGGACCAAAAAAUGUCUUACUCGAGCCUUAUUUUUUUGUCCAAGCCUAUUUUUUGGACCUAUAUUUUUGUCCAAACUAUCCCAUAUUUCGGACAAGCGUUCUAGUUGGGCCACCAUGCUCACCUCUACAUAUAACAAGUAUAAUAAAUAAAAAAAUAUAGAGAAUAAUGAAAUAAAAAUUUAACAGAUAGGUAAUGUAGUUUGAUGGUAAGAAAUUAACUUUAUUUACCAAUUUAAAGACCUAAAAUAACCACAUAAAAUAAGAAAAAAAUUUUAAAGAAUGUGAAAAAUCUCCCAAAAACAACUUUCAAGAAAGACUAUUUUCCAUAUAUAUAUAUAUAUGAUAUAUCAUCUUAAUAAUAGAAGUAUAAAUUAAUGAUAUAAAAAAUUAGACAUUGAACUAACAAUUCAGUGGAAGAAACUUGAGAAAAGAAAAAUGAGCCCGUUAUAGUUGGAAGUAAACUUCUUGUAAAUGUAAUUUUCAAUGUAUAUUCCGGUGAAAUUAAAAAAAGAAACUCAUAAAGAAAGAUAAUGUGGAGUGUACCUUGCAUUUAUCGAACAAGUUAUAGGUAACUUAGACGAUAAUCGACGAGCAAUUGAAAAAGGGCCAAAAUAAGCCUGACGUUGGGACAAGGAGGUCCCUAACGUUGGGACGAUGCGACAGUUUUUGGUAAUGGACGUGACGACAAUGUCGUAAUGAGGAAAGCUGGCGUGUCAUGACAUCAUGAUGAUUCCUAAUAUUAUACAACCACGCUUUGGACAACUUACCAGAACUUCUUCUAGUUGAGCUUUGACUUCUUCAGGAAUAUUUUAAUAUGAUUAAAACUCUAAUAUUAGCCUAUUUAAAGGGCUUUAGUAACCUUGAUUUAGACAUGCCAAUCAAUGAGGGUUUUUCUUGAGAGUGACAAGAUGUAGUUGCAUAUGAGUUUUUAUGAGAAUUUUGUGGUAACUAUGAAAAGAAUUUUGUUUUUGAGUUAUGACUUUAUUUUUGGGAUGUGGGAUUAUACGCUUAGUACCUUUAGGUUUAUUUUCUUCAUAUUAUACUCUUAUUUGUUUACUUAUUUAGUGAAAAGUGGAAGUCACCUUUACCGAUGGUUUUUCCCUUUUUGAGGGUUUUUCAAGUGAAAUAUUUGUGUUCGAUCUUUUCCAUUUUUACUAUCUUGUUGUUUAUACGAGUCGAUCCCCAAUAGAUAGCAAACAUACGGCAUGUUUAGUAGUACUUAAAAAAAGCACUUUUGACUCCAAAAGCUCUUUUGAAAAAAAAGUUGUGCUAAACAAGCUGCUUUUUGCUGAAAUUGGCUCAAAAGCACUUCUGAAAAGAAGUUAAAACUUUUAGGUUUCAUCUUCAAAAGCACUUUUGAUGUUUAAUUAUUUUUUUAUCCCUUCAAUAACAUAGUACUUUCCUCUUUUUUUGCUUAAUUAUAAAUGUGUUAAAUCAUUAAUUAAAAAUAAAAAUAUUUUUUAAAAUACUAAUUACAAAUAUUUAAUGGUUAUAUUUAAAUAUUUAAAAUAUAGUUUAUAUAUUUUAAUUAAAAUUUAUAAAUAAAAAUAUUUAAAAUUUAUAUUUCAUAUAUUAAAACAUUAACAACAAGUUAAAUAAAAUUUUUUAUAUUCUUCCUAAAAUAUAAUAAUAUUAACUAAUUUAAAUAUUAUUUAAAUGUAUAUUUGUUACUUGAUAAUAACAUCAUUAAAAUGAACAUUUUAUUUCACAAAAGUAUUUUUUGAUGGUAAUACUAAACACUCAAAUUUUAACUGAACUUUUCAAAAAUAUUUUUCCACUUACACUUUUCAAAAGCAUUGUUAAACUAGCCUAAUGGAAUGGGAAACAUCUUUAAAUCAAGAAUGAAAUUCUUUUACCAGAAGGUGAAGUAUACAAAAUAGAAGGGAAAAUGCAAAAUAGAUUUUCUCCACAUUCUGACCAUUUACGUCCUUAAGAAGUGAUUUUUUACUUUUGGAUUUUAACUUUUGAUGAAAGGCUGGUUGAAUUAGAGAAAUUUAUAUACUGUAAGAGUUGGGAGCUUCCCUUCACACUUACGGAAUAUGUAAUUACCAUUCAUUUUCUAAUAUAAUCAACAUUUUGUCACCAAAAUUUAAUUAUUGAAUUCGCAAUUAUUUUAAUACCUGCAGUGUUUAUAUAUUGUAACAUUAUAUAUCAACUUUUGAUUUGAUUUAAUUUUUGUAAAUUAGUAACAUGAUUAUGGAUAUAAUAUUAUUUUAUGUUUAUAUAUUGCAUAUAUAAAUAAUUAUAUUUAUUCAAUAUAAAAAUAAAUUGAUGUAUUUAUUUCUUUAAAAAUUUAUGAUUAAUACAAAAUUAAAAUUUU
rnacentral:lncRNA from 1 species